AGAUAAUUCAAAAUAUAAAACUGAAUUUUGAUUUAUUCAAAUUCAAAUUUAAAAUUAUAAUUUCAAUUUCAAUUUGAAUCCAUAAAUUUUAUUUAGAUUUUAAUAAAAUUUCAAUAAAACUUUAGAUUUUAAAGUAAAUUUAAAUUUAAAUUCGAAUUUACAAAAUAGAUUUGAAAUGCUUGAUUGAAUUUUAAUUUUUAAUUUAAGUUCAAAUUAAAAUUCUAAUUGAUAAAUUGAAAUCGUAACGAGAAUUCCGCAUACUAAAUACAAACAAACGGAUUCGUCUUUUUCGAUUUCAAUUUGAGGAUGAAAAGGGGACGAACCAAACAUGCUUCUAAUGUCUAAAUGGCCUGGUUAAGUUGGAUCGAAAUUUGUGAGCAUUAUAGUUUAGCACCUAAAUGCGAUGAACAUGUGUUUUUGAAAUAAUAUGUUAAUGAUUACAAUCCAUAAAUAUGUCAAAUUUCUGGACCUUUGUUGGUUUCGACUGGACUAGAGCUUUCCUAACAUUUGAUUUGAGCCCGACUUUGAAUUCGAGCGCGUCGGGCGUUGUUCUGGUGGGCUAUAUUGAUUUAGAACUCAGCUACAAUUGCUGACCUGUAUCCAAUUUGAAAAUAAUUUCUAUCUAAUAAUUUAAACUUUUAAAUUGGGCCUGAACUUUUAAUUUUUUUAAAUAUGAUAUCAAAGUUUGUUUCAUAUUUUCUUGCGGUUCAAUUUCUCUUGGUUCAGCCUCAUAUAUAUAUAUAUAUAGAGAGAGAGAGAGAGAGAGAGAGAGAGAGAGAGAUUGACUAGGCUACUAUCGGUAGUAAACUGCUCGAUUUACUACCGAUUUAUUUUUUAUGAUAGAGCUUCCAAAUCAACAAUCGGCACCGUUGAACAUAAUCUAGACCAUUUAAAUUAUUUAGAAAUCAAAUUUUAUGAUUUUUUGGUAUCACUAACUGAAUGAUCAAAGGGUCACAAAAUCUAUAAUUUUAAUAGCUGAUAUGGUGCAUUUGCUCGUUUUACGGUAUAGAAAAGUUCAAAUCAACUAAAUUUUUGUUAAAAAAUUCUUUAAACUAUUUAAAAUAAGAUCUAGACUCUAGAUCUCAAAUAUAAAAAUUGAAUCAUCACUUUUUGAAGGAUAUUCAUUUCUAGCCAUUCAUUUUUCUGUUCACUUGAUGAACAUAGAACAAUAUCAAAAAUAUGUGAAAUUUGAUUUCCAAAUAGUUUGAAUAAUUUAGAUUAUGUUUAACGGUGCCGAUCAUCAAUUUUGAAGCUCUAUCAUCGAAAACAAAUCGGUAGUAAACCGAGCCGUUUACUACCGAUAGUAUUCUAGUAAAACUCUCUCUCUCUCUCUCUCUCUCUCUCUCUCUCUAGUAAAACUCUCUCUCUCUCUCUCUCUCUCUCUAUAUAUAUAUAUAUAUAUAUAUAGUAGAUGUUUGGACUGGGCUACUAUUGUAGUAAAUUUAUUGUUGCUUACGUUUUUUAGCUUUGGAUCAACUCUUUUCAUUAUUUCUAACAUUGGAUUAAUACUAUAACCAGUGGGGACACUCACCUAGGGGGACACUCAUCAACUCAACACGCUAAUAUCAUCCUGACCCUACAAUUUUUCAUCUAAGGCGUUAAAAACUGAUAGCAAAAAGAGCGUUUUAUAUUAAUAGUAUUCCAGCCUAUUAUAUAUAUAUAUUAUAUAUAUAUUAUAUAUAUAUAUAUAUAUAUAUAUAUAUUAUUAUAUAUAUAACUAGGCUAAUAUACUAUUAAUAGCACAAGUUAUUGGUGCUACCAAGUUUUUGGCUAUUGGAUUAAGAGAUGUGCGGUUAGUGGGUGGUUGGUUGAUAGUAUUAUCUAACGGGAUGAAAAUGAUCAAAAAGGCAGAUCUAACGGCCGAAAACUUGGUAGCACCAAAUGCUUCGUACUAUUUAUGCAUAGUAGCCGGACUAUUAUAUAUAUAUAUAUAUAUAUAUAUAUAUAUAUAUAUAUAUAUAUAUAAUUAGGCUGGUAAUCAUUAAUAGUAAAUGUUCUUUUUUCUAUCAAGUUUUUAACCAUUGGAUGAAAAAUUGUAGGGUUAUGGAUAUUAUGUCAGUUAGAACUAAGUGGUCCCCUAGGGUUGAGUGGUCCCCACUGGGUUAUAGUAUUUAAUCCAAUGGUUAGAAAUAAUGAAAGAGUUGAUCCUAAGGCUAAAAAACUGGUAGCAACAAUAGAAUUUUGCUACUAAUAGUAGCCCAUUCAACUCACGUCCAUCACUUUCUCUCUCUCUCUCUCUCUCUCUCUCUCUCUCUCUCUCUCUAUAUAUAUAUAUAUAUAUAUAUAUAUAUGAGUAAGUCUACUAUACUUUUAUGAGUACAGAGCUUUUCGUACCUAUAAAUUAUUUUUAUGUUGGGUUUUCGAAUUGAUGAUCCACAUCGUUAAACAUGAUCUAGAAUAUUUGAAACUUCUAAAAGAUAAAUUUCGUAAUUUUUAGAAAUCAUUAUAAAACUCAUCAAGCAGGUAUAAAAUGAACGGUCAAAAUCGAACGAUAUUAUAAAAAUGGAUGAUUGGAUCCUUCAAUUUAAGAUCGAAGUUAUUGAUCUUUAUCUAGGUAGUAAAUAGAAUUUUCUAUCAAAAAUUCAAUCUAUUCUGAUUCUUUUACACUGUUAAAUUAGCAACUAUCGCAUACCGGCCGUUAAAAGUUUUUAAUUUUGUGAGAUUUUGAUGGUAAGGUAAAUGAUAUCAAAAAAUUAUAAAAUUUGAUUUCUAGAAGUUUUAAAUGCUCUAAAUAAUGUUUAACGGUAUGGAUUGUCGAUUUGGAAGCUCUAUUAUCGAAAACAAAUUAUGAGUAUGAAGGCGAUCGUACUCAUAAAAGUAUAGUAGCCGAACUCAUAUAUAUAUAGUUGAGCUAGAUUACUCUCAAAAGCGUCAAAGCGAGUCGUGCUUUUGAGUUUUUAACCAUUGGACGAAGAGAUGUAGGGUUGAGAUGAUGAUGGUAGGUGAAAUCGUAUUUGAUCCAAAUGAUAUUAGUAAUCAAGGAGUAGAUCCAAGGGGUAGAAAGCUAGAAGCACCAGGGACUUGGUGCUUCUAAAAGUAUUCUAGCUCAAUCAUUCAUAUAUAUAUAGUAUAGAGCUAUUAUGCUAUCGGAAACAUAAAGUAGUUGGUGCUUUCGAUAUUUUAGCCCUUGAAUAAAAAAUUCUAUGGUUGGGAUAAUAACGAUCCCCUUAGGGUUGAGUGGUCUUUCUAGGGUUGAGUGGUUUCCAUUGGUUAAUAAUAUUAAUCCAAUGGUUUGAAAUGAUCAAUAGGAUUGAUCUAAGGGUUAAAAAAUCAAAAGCACCAACUACUUUUUAUGCUUUCGAUAGUAUAGUAGCUCCACUCUAUAUGUAUAUAUAUGUAGAGUUGAGCUAGAAUACUAUCGAUAGCAAACGGGCCCUGUUGCCACCUAUUUGUUUUCGAUGAUGGAGCCUCCAAAUCGACGAUCGGCACCGUUGAACAUGAUCUAUACAACUUGAAGUAUUUAGAAAUCAAAUUUCAUACAUUUUCGAUAUUGUUCUCUUAUCUAUCGAGUGGACACAAAAAUGAACGGCUGAAAAUAAAUAUUCUUUAAAAAAUGAUGAUAGGAGUCUUGUAAUUAAGAUCAAGAGUAUAGAUUUUGUUUUAAAUAGUUUAAAAAAUUUUCUAACAAAAAUUCAAUUGAUUGGAUAUCUUUACGCCGUUAAACGAGAAACGCCUCAUAUCGGCCAUUAAAAUUACAAAAUUUGAAACCCUUUGAUCAUCAGGCAAAUGAUGCCAAAAAAAUUUGAAAUUUAAUUUCUAACACUUCAAGUGGUAUAGAUCAUGUUCAACGGUGCCGAUCGUCGAUUUGGAGGCUCUAUCAUCGAAAACAAAUGAGUUGCAAAGGAACUCGUUUGCUAUUGAUAGUAUUCUAGCUCAACUCUAUAUAUAUAUAUAUAUAUAUAUAUAUAUAUAUAUAUAUUCAAAAUCAUAGACAAUUAGUUAGUUGAUUAGUAAUCAAUGAAUCGAUUUAUCCUUUUCAGAGAUGCCUCAAUUGAAAAAGAGUCCCUGCCAGAGCAUUUAUAACACCACAAAGUGGGCUGUGCUCUCAAACAAUUUAUUUAUUUAUUUAUUUAUGCACAUGAAAAGGAGAGAACAAUUAGUGGCUUUUCGCAAAAGGGCUUUUUCCCCCUCUUUGACCCUAAAGUUGAUUGCUUAAUCUCCUCGAAAAGCAAACAGAGAGAAAUAGAAAGAUUGAGGACUUUGUUUUUUUGCUUAAAAGAAAUUGUCCUUUUUACCAACGUGGUGGCAUUGCAUCACCCUUUUCCAUUUUUAUAAAGAGCAGUAAAAAUUUAUGAAAACGUUCGUCCAAACUACGAAGUUAAUAUUAAGCUAUGAAAAAUGCUUGAGGUCAAAAUGUAUAAAGACCCUGCAACUUUGUGAUUGAUUUGAUUUUUUCUUUCUUUUUUUUUGUAAGUUCGUGUUUGUAGAAAUGAACUCGGUUAGAAUUACGAAGUAACUAGAAUUCGAAAUUAAAACCUGAGAUAUCAAUUAUUUCGCUCGUACUAUACUUUUUUCUCUUAUAAAUUAUAGGAGAAACUUCAAAUACUCCCCCUGUGGUUUUGCACUUUCUCAUUUUAGUACUAUGUGGUUUCGUACUUUCUCACUUUAUUACUCUAUAAUUUCAAGUGUAUCAAAUUAGUAUCAUGUGGUUUCAUUUUUGUAUCAAGUUAAUACCCUGUUAUUUUAAUUUUUUUUUUUUAUUAUCCAUUUCGAGAUAUAUAAUUUAACGAAAUAUUAAACCACAUGAUACUAAAGUGAGAAAGUGUGAAAUCAUAGGGUACUAACUUGAUACACUUGAAACCAUGGAGUAAAAAAGUGAGAAGGUUCGAAACCACAUGAUACUAAUUUGAUAUACUUUAAACUAAAUGGUACUAAAGUGAAAAAGUACGAAAUCACAUGAGGGUAUUUCAAGUUUCUCCUAAAUUAUACUGAGACGGGCACAAACCUCAAAUUUUAGCACAUAUGGAGAUUCAAACUCCUAACACUAAAACUACUAGUGGUUAGAUACGAAUCAUCACGAAUCAUCAAAUGACUCAUUAAAUUUCAGCUUUAAAGUGUUAAUUUAUAGCCGAAAAUUCAUGGCAUUUAUGUACUCCCUCUCAAAAUUCUGACAUAUGUAUCCCCCACUUGCUGAGGAGCUUAAUUUUGCCUUCUUGAUACUGCAGGGGAAUAUUUACUUCACAAUCAGAAGCAAGAGCAAACAAAAGAAAUGAAAAGAAUUUUUUUUUUUUUUUAAAAAAAAGAGGAAUUAAAUGCCUCUCUGUGAGCUCUGGUGCUGUGAAGGUGGGACACAAAAGCUGCAGCAAUCACAUGCCCUCACAAUCCCCAUUCCCAUGAUUCCCAUCUCUCCUCUUCUUUUCAUUUUUCAAUUUUUUUUUUUAAAUUUUUUUUCAUUCUUCUGCAGCUGCUGCUGCUCCAAAAAGCAGUUUUUAGAAGACCCCACUGUAAAAGCCUGUCACUUAUUAGAGGGGGCUCAAUUGUUGCAAUCAAAAGCAAUCACACAUUGCUGUUCCAACUAUCAUCCUCCCCAUUAUUACCUGCAUGUGAGAUCCAACAUGAUCUUGGGGAGUAAAUUGCACUAGCAUGCACACAUUUUACUGGAGUUUUAUUUGGUCAUCCGAACUUUUAGCACUGUGGACCUACGGAUCAUGUAUCCGUCGCAUAUUUUCAAUUCGACGGUCUAAUUUUUAAGAUAGGAAAAGCUGUAAUUGAAUUGGUGAUAUAAUAUUGACAUAUGUAAUAAAAGAUCAAGGGUUGGUAAAUAAUCUGGGGCUCUAAUUAAUAGAAUAAAUAAUUGCUUCGAAACGGCGUCGUAACUCGGUGCAACACUUCAUUAUAAUAUAUAUUAGUUUUGGGCUGUAAUGAUAAAUUUUGAUUCUUAAGGACGAGCCCAUGACAACAAAGUUUUUGGCCCAAAAUGGCCGAUAUGUUCCUCUUCGUUAGUGGAAUUGAAGUGGGACUUUUCUUCAACUAAAAGAUGACCAUUCUAUCCUCGUAUAAAUAUCUUUUUCAUUACGUUUGGAAUUAUUUAUUAACUGUAAUAUUUCUAUUCUAACUUUUAUGCCAUCCUACUUAAAUCAUACAUUAUAAAUUCUAAAAUUUUUUGGUAGUAGGUAUCCGGGGUUCCAAGUUCGAAUCCUAAUUGAUUCACAUUUCCAGCUAAGUUUAUUUCUAAAUGAAAUAAACGAAGCAGAUAACAUGCUAUCUAUCUCUUAAUUUUUGUUUUUUUAGAACCCUACUUUCAUGGAGCCCACUUGCUAAUUUAUUCCUAAUCCAAAUUCUGUCGGAUCGCAAUUCACUUAAAGUGUACAGAUACAGUGCCUACGGGUCUUAAUUGUGAUUCGGUCUAUCCAACCUCAUGCCACUUCAAACAUGACUUGGCUCACCGCAGCCUCACGCAAUUUCGAAUAUGACUCGGCCUAACAUGGUCUUCCGUCACAGGGCAAGAUGCUGGCCCAUUUAAGCUAACAAUCUCCCCUCCAGCACCUGUACACAUUUGUAGCAUGCGGGAAUUGAACCUAUGACCUCUGGAUGCCACUUUUCGAAUCGUUGGCGCUAACCAUUAAUCCCAAAAGCUCAAGUUGUUCGAAAUACGCAACCAAUUCACUUAAAGCGUACAGAUACAGCUUUCACGGGGCUCAAUUGUGACUCGGCCACCCAACCUCACGCUACUUCGAACAUGACUUGGCCCACCCCAAUCUUAAGCCAUUUCGAAUAUUACUUGACCCAAUAUGACCUUCCGCCACAGAGAAGAUGCCGGCCAUUUAAGCCAACAAAUUCAACUUGAAAUAAUAAGCAAUAGUACAUCACAAGAAUACAAUUUGCAUUAUUUAAAAGGAGAGUUUCUUACAAUAAUUAUGAUUGACUUUGCUUUGUACACUCUUCCACGUUACUAUAUAUUAAGCAACCAACUAUUAAAGUCAUUAAAAAAGUACGUAUAUAAUCAUGUGUAGCAGUAACACAAUUAUAUGUUUCGUGCAAUUAUGUACACACACCAGAAAUAAAACUUUUGACCCAUUAAGAGUGUGUUUGGUUCCACGUAAAACUGUGGAAAAAAAAUUUUCGAUGAAAAAAAAAUUUUCGGUGGAAAAACGAUUUUACAUAGUUAGUGUUUGUUUUGUAGGAAAAGAAAAAUAAUUUUUCACGACGGGAGUUUGGUUGGAAGGAAAAAAAAUAGAUGAAAAACUAUUUAUUAUUUUUUAUUAUAUAUUAUUAAUAUAUAAUAAUUAAAAUAUUUUAUAUAUUAUUAUAAUUUUUAUAUAUAGAUUAAAUAUAUUUAAAAUUAUAAUAAAUAUGUUACAUCAUGUAUAAUAUAUUUAGAAAUAUUAAUAAAUAAUUACAAAUUUAUAAAUAAAAUAUUAUAUAUAUAAAUAAUAUUAUAUUUAUAAAUAUAGUAUAAUAAUUUUUUUUCACAACGGUUUUUAUUCUGAAAGGAAAAAAAAAUAGAUAAAAUACUGAAUUAAUUAUAUUUUUAAUUUAUAUAAUAUUAAAUAUAAUAAUUAAUAUAUAUUAUUAUAUUAUUGUUAUAAGUUUAUAUAUAAAUUAAAAAUAUUUAAAAAUUAAAUGACAUAUUAGCAUCAGUAUAUAUAUAUUAUAUUAUAUAUAAUAUAUAAUAUAUAUAUGAUAAGAGUUAUAUUAUUAGAGGUAUUAAUAAAUAAUUUAUAAAAUUUUAAAAUAACGAAAUAUAUAUAAUAAUAUUUCUAUUAAUAAAAAAUAUACUAUAUAACUAGAAUAAGUAUAUAUAUAUUUAUAAUAUUAAUUAUAAUUUUUACCGUCUUUUAUAUAUAUAUAUAUAUAUAUAUAUAUGAUAGAACUAGGCUUACUAUGCUAAUUAAUAGCACGAAGCACUUGGUGCUACAGUUUUAGCCAUAUGGAUUCAAAAGUAUUGGCGGUUAGGAUGAUUGGGUCCUCUGGGGUUAGAGUGGGUGUGUUAAAAUAGUAUGAUCUACCACGUGGUAAAAUGAUCAAAGAGUAGAAUCUAACAGUGCGGAAAAUUGGUAGCCUCACACUCUCUCUCUCUCUCUCUCUCUCUCUCUCUCUCUAUAUAUAUAUAUAUAUAUAUAUAUAAAAAAAAGAGAGAGGAGUGGGUGAGUGGUCACGAGAACCAGGCUUUCUCGUGGACCGCGCCUUUUGGAGCCGCUGUGAGCCGCGCCUUUUGGAGCAAGUUUUCGUUUUCCGCGGAAGGAUGGCGGAAAACGAAAACUCGGUUUUUCCGAGAAUCUGUAAAAAAUUUUUUUCAACAACUUUUUUUUUUCCGAACACCCAAACAAAGGAAAAUCACUUUUCAACCGAAAUUUUUUUUUUUUGAGGACUUUUACAUGCAACCAAACACCGCCUAAUCGAAAUCGUGAAAUAUUACCCAACUGCACCAGACAAUAAUAGUGCAUAUGCUAUUGGUGUCCAUUUUAAGAAAAUAUAUUCUUUUCUAUCUACUACUACAAGUGGCUUCAUUAAUUCCAAAUCUUCCAACCACUUUCCCAUUCUUUGUAAAUUAACUAUUUUCAAAAUAUAUUUUUUUUUUUUGCAAUAAGGCUUCCCAAAAUAAUUAAGACUUACUUGAUUCACUUAUUUUAGAUUUUAAAAUAUAAAUGGGAUUUACUAAUUUUGAUAGUUGUUAUUUGUUUUAUAGAAUUCACAUUGUGAUUUUCAUCCCACUGAAAUGGAAAUAAUUUAAUUCAUUUAUAGCUUGAUCUAGCUUUUAAUCCUGAUUAGCUCAUUUCAAAAUAAAUUACUUAAAAUUUUCUUUCACAAAUACCUUCUUUUCUCUCCUUUCAUCUCUCUCUUCUUACUGAACCAAAAUCUUCUCUCGGAAUCCUAAGCGUUCCUAUUAUUCUUUCCGAUUUUUCUUCCAAUAAUAACUGAAAUAUUUGUAAAUAAUUUAUUAUUUUAUUUUUUAUUCCAAUACAAUUUAAUUUAAUUUUUUUUAUUUUAAUUCCUAUUGUGAAAUAAACAUGCACUACAUUAAUUUGAGAAAAUAAAUAGAAGAACAAAGAAUGUAAUAAUUACUCCCCAUAAUUACUUGGAAUUGUGAUAAUGAAGCACAAACUCUACAAGCUUUAACUAUCUUUUUUUUUUUUUUUUUUUUAAGUAAAGCAUCAAAUUCAGCAGGUCAUUAUUGGGCCCCACAUGCCUGCUACAAGAAGCUUGUAAAGCAUUUCUUUGUUGAAAUUUUUUUUUUUUAAUCAAAGCCAGAGUUAAGGUCUGAAUUUUUAUUUAUGUUGGAGUAAAAUCAAUUGUUGGACUGAGAGGCCAAAGUUUGGAGCCCGCUACGAAUCUCACUGAGAGUGCGGGUCGGAGUCCACACGGUACGGAUCCGCUUAGUUCGGACCGGAAUAUUUUUUAAAUUAUAUUCUAUUUUGGCCUAUCCAUUUAGUUAAACCUAAAUUAUUUCCAAUUUAAUGUAACAUAGCCUCUUAUUUGGGAAACUUUAGUAUGUAAGAGAGAGCAUUAGGUAUAUUUUGAGAUAUAAUUUUCUAAGAGAGGAGCCUAUUGUACAAUGUGUACUGGGCGUGCGAAUGGGAUCCACAUUAAUUAUUUAUCUACUUUAGUUUCUUCUACGAAUUAGAAUUUUUUUAGAAUUUUUAAUUUAUGUCGAAGUAGCUACGUUUAAGAACUUCAGUUCGACAACUAUAGUUAAACUUCGAUCGCGAUCAAAUCACCGAGAAGCUGUUUCGAGUUUCGACUGAAUCUACACCCACAUGAGCUUAACAAUAGGACAUAUCUACAGGAACCCACUCUUAAACUUGUAGAUGUACCCAAUUAGUUUGUAUUAUCCGAUGUAGUGCUUAACAAUUAUUUAUCCGAUGUACCCAAUUAUUUAUCCGAUGUAGAGCUUAACAAUAGGACAUAUCCGAUGAACUGAAGAAUGUCCAUGACGCUUGCUCUGCGGAAAUUGGAGCAAUUUUCCGAGCGACAAAUCUGUUGUUGCAAAGGUAUUCGGGAGAAACUUUUCAUAUCUACUCAGAUUCAGCACCCAUCAUCAAAGCCUUGCACCUUAGGAGCUAUCAUUCAGUUUCGUUAACAGAUGAAGCUCGAACAAGAAUCUCGGAUCUCCGAACUUUUCUUGAAAGUUCCAAGCUAUUUAGUUAUGGAUGGUCGUCUAGAUAUUCUAAAAAUGCUGUAGUUGCAGAUCGAUUGGCCAACUGGGGGCUUACUAGCAAAAAACUCUCUUUUUGGUCCUCUGUAGAUGAAUUCUACCAAGUUGUACCUCCCGAUUGAUAAAUAAAUUCGCCUAAGGGCGUGUUUUCCCUCAAAAAAAAAAAAAAGAAAAAGUUUGUAUUAAUUAAUUCUUUGAACAAUUAAAUUCAUUACAUAGAAUUCUAUUUGAACCAAUCCAAAAUCUUACGUAAGAAUCGCUUUUCCACGGUUCCACUUUUAUUUGUUUCUGAACGUGGAAGGAGCCCAACAUUCGCACGCUUUGUAGCGUGCAAGUGAAGUGCAACCACAGAAACUGGGACUAUUCAUAUAUAGGAUGAUUGAGGCCUCUCAUAAUUAGUUCCAUUAACUAAGUAUUGGACCCACAUCAACUCCACUACUUUUAUUUCAUCUUCUAAAUAAGAUCUCAAAGCUUCUAACUCAUCAGAAACCAAUAAGGAAAUAAUUUAUUGCGCGCAGUUACUAUUGUAUUGCAGUUUUAACUUUACACAAAUUUGAAUAUGUUAUUUGGAUUCGUGCAUUUGUAAUUCCAACUGCAACGGUAGGUGAAGACGAAUCACUUCGAUCAAUAAAUAAUAAUAAUAAUAAUAAUAAUAAUAAUUCUCCACACUACCAAAUAAAUUAAUUAUAAUUAUAACCGUUAUAGACCCACAAAACUUAAUAAAAUAAUCAACUAAUAUAUUUUCAAUGCUAUUCAUUUUUUACUAAACUAUGCCUAUAAUUAUUAUAUGGAUAAAUUACAAUUCUGGUCCUCAAAUUAUCGGGCUGGUAAUAUUUUUGUUCUUAAAUUUUCAUUCAUUUUAAUUUUUGACUCGAAUUUUUUAAAUUAUUGCUGUACAAAUCACAACCCAAUUUAUUUUACUAAAUGUUGACAAUACAGUUAUAAUUAAGAUGAUAUACAGUUUAUAUAUACUAGUGGCUCGUCAGAAUUUAACCAACUAAUAGUUUAUAAGACUUAAUUGAUCAUAAUAGUUUAUAAAAUUGAAAAAAAAAAUUAUAAUAAAUUAAAAUUUAAGAACUAAAAGUGCUAUACACGCGCAUGGUGUGUAAUGCUUUGAGGAAAUUUCUUUUUUCGGGUUUCAAUCAAUUGCUCUAACCCACUAGCCAAGUCAAGUAAACAUACUUAUCUCUUGUAAAAAAAGACAAAUUUUAUAGCUAUCAUUGUCAAAGUAAGUACAUAUAUAGAAUUCCUACACUAGGAAAUAUUCACCAACCAAUGAGAUUGGUCACAAAAGGUACCUUACUUAGGAAAAUUAAACCCUCAUCAACCAAUGAUACAGUUUUUCGGUGCCUAAUUACCACAAAUUAAUUAAAAAAAAACAUAUUCUAUAAAUAUAUAGUGCAUAGGAUAUUCUAGAUCGAUCAUGCGUUACGUGUCCGAUUCAAAUAUCCUAAAUCAUCCAGUUUCGAAAUCGAUGUUGUCAAAAUAAGAUUUUAUACUAUCGGUGCAAAUAUAUCUUAUUUACUCAUGAUUUAAAUUUUUAUUCUAACAAUAAUAAAAAUUAACUUAUUUUGAUCAUACCGCGACUGUCCCUAGAGCAAGUGACAAAGGACUUGGUGGUUGGUACCCGAGACCCAAGUUCGAAUUCUAGUUGAUUCACAUUUCCAGCUAAGUUUAUGUCUAAAUAAAAUAAACGAAGCGGGUAGCGUGCUACCUAUCUCUCAAAAAAAAAAAAAACUUAUUUUGAUCAUAUCUAUUCAUAUAUUUUGUGGCCUAAUAAGGAUUAGAUCACUAAAAUUUUAGAGAUCACAAUAGAAAUUUAAUAUGGUAUUACUUUUUAAUUGCUAGAUACUAGUACUAGUUAAAGUUACAGCAUUAAGAUUCAAAGAAUAUGAAUUCAAAAAGAGAGCUCUUAACUUUUCAUAUGUACUUUUUUUAAAAAAAUUCGUUUAUGCUUUUAAUUAGCACUUAAUUUUGUGAGCAAGUGUGCUAGGACAAGCCUACAAAAUUAAGAGUCUACUAUAAAUCAAAAUUGUUUAUUGAUUUUUACAUAACCUGCAUAGUUCGGUUGAACAACCCAUUAUCUUAAAAAAAAAUUAAAAUAUUAGAGACAAAUAAAUAUUUCACACGAUUAAUUCCCAGUUUGAAUCCAAUCAGGCUACAGGUUUUAUUAAUUUCUCCUAUUCAAUUCAAGUCUACGUCUUGGGUAAACGCUAAUAUUUCAAACCCAAAUAUGACAAAAAGUAUUGAAUAUAAAAAUAUUAAAAAAUAAUUAUUUAAAACUUAAGGUUUUAAUUAAAAACGAUUGUUUUACUUUUUUUUUUUUUUGGUUGGUUGGUGUUUCUCCAUGUAAUUGUGUGCCAAAAUUUUGGAGCUAAGUUAUAUACGUAAUCCACUUGGCACAUGUAACACGACAAAGUAACAAACGUACAUCAUUUUAAUAUUAUGGCCAAUGGCCAAUGGGUUAGCUUACAAGCUAUGAACCUUCCAACACGGAUUGAGAAAAUAAUUGGUGGGGGGACUUGGAAGUUGAUCUGGUCAACGAUGUAGAUAAUGAUUAAUUAGGUGGAUAAGCAUGUGAUUUAGCAUGGGAUUAAUUAAGGAUCUAUUUAAAUGUAUGAAUAUUUUAUUCAUCACUUCCUUUUCAUUUAUUCCAAAGAAGCACACGAUUAAAUGUAUAAAACAGCAUAUUAUAUACGACCUCUAAGUCAUUUUGUGAUAAAAGAAAAUAAAACACCUUUGUAAAAGCUAAAGUAAAGCUUAUUUAUUAACUUGCAACCAUAAAAAUUAUUAUUAGAUAACUUGUUCUGAUAUUUAAAUAAGUAAAAGCUUCGAAAAUACCUAAAAAUUAAGGAGCACAUCAUUAUCUUUUAUUGGAUCUUUUUUAAAUCUGUCGUCUAACAUGAUGCUGAGAUAAGAAAAAAAAAAUUUUAUAUCAAAAUAAAUUUAAGAUUCAAACUUGUUUUUAAUCACACAACUCAUCAAACUGUCCCAACGGGGAUUUUAUUGAAGAGCUUCUCAACAAAGUUAGGCCCUGCGACUUAAGCGUGGCUUUGAUUAACUACCGCGUGUUUGUUUACGCUUAGAUAUAUAUACACAUUCAAGUAAUGAAAGCUAAGCAAUAGGAAGUUGGUAUAACCUCCAUCAACUCUCUUCCUUCGGAAAAAAGCUUCAACCUAGCUCUAUUCCUUUUUGUUCUUCUUUCUCACUCAGUCCUCAUGGAUCAACAAGAUGGCGAUUACAGCGGCGAUUUUAUGGUCCUAAGACCGGAUAAAGGAGGGAUGUUGGAUCUCUUCUAUCUCUUAUUUUCGAGCGAUCUUACGAAGAAUAACGCCGUCGACUGCCCGAUCGGCACCGAGAUAGACAAAGUAGGAAGAAGAUGGGCGAUCUUCAUCUCCCUCCUCUUGCAGAAGAUUCUCCUAAAGUUGAAGAAACCAAUGGCUCUCGUUGGUUCUGCGCUCGAGCAGUGGAUGAAUCUUCUCUAUGAGAAUGGUAGUUACUGGAAUCUCUUCAGUAAUAUCGUGAAAGGUGCGUAACCUCUAUGAUCGAAAAAAUAAUAUUAAUGUCAAAACAAUUUAUGUUAUUGCCAGAGCAAAAGUUUAUAUCAUGAUCAGAUACAGAAUAUUUACUUUCGCAAUAUCAAAACUAGCUUUGACAUCAAUACCUGUUCCCAACCUUUAUUUGCUAUAUUGUGAUUAAUUAUUGACAUAUAAUAUAGAAGACGUAAUUUUUUCAAAAAGAUAAAAAAAAAAACAAGAAGCAAGAAUGAAAUGAAAAAUCAGUACAAGAUCUUUAAUUAAGCUUUAACAAACUAAUUACAAUGGUUUUGAGAUAUAUUGACGAAUUGGCACUUUUUUAAAAAAAAUUUUUCAAGUUCUUAUCAGUUUGUUAACUUCGUAUUUAAUUAAUUUCAUCUUAUUCUUUGAACGGAAAAUUUUUUUCCAGGAACACUAAAGGAUUGUUGUAGAGAUAAAAUUCAAUUUUGUUUGUUGAAAUAUGCAACAAUUUAAUUAGUUAAAUUUGUAUGUAAAAAUUCAAUUAUGUGACUCUGUUUGUUGGACUUAUUAAAAAAAUUUCGCCUUAGCGAAUUCAAAAUAUAUGAAACUAAUACUACUAACAACUUAAUUAAUUAGAUUUUUAGAUAUAAACGGCUGUUUCGUAUGCCAUAAAAGUUGUUCGUAAAUUAAAUUUCUUUUGUUUAAUUCAAAUACACAUAUAAAAUGUUAAAAUACAGUUUUCUGUUGAAUAAUUAAUUCCAACAUAACAAGUUGAGCCCUACUUUUUAAUGCAAUUUAAAAAUAUCUACCAAUAAUGUAAUAAUAAUAUGCAAUAAGGUUAUGCUAACGAUACUAUGUGAGUUUCCUAGCAAUGUAGUUUUCUUAAUUACACCUAACACGCCAACUAAACUAAAUUAUUACCCACGAGGAAGUAAUUAAUAGUAAACUAACAAGAUUGCUUCUCACGUUUCAAGACUUAAAAAAUCCAUAAAAUUUCGUACCUACCGAAUAUAAAUAAUUUAAAAUACUAUUUUAAAAAAAUUUAAGUCUCUAAAAAAUGAGUAUUAUUUAAUAUGUUAUCAAAACAGGAGGUUCUGAAUCUAAAUCUCACUUGUAUUAAUUUCUUUUCUUAGGAAAAAUGAGGAUGCCGGACAAAACGAAGUCGACAUAUAGAUCGGCGAUUGGACUCAUCGACACGCGAGUCGACUUGGAUAAGAAGAUCAAAACUAGUGAUAGCAGAUACAAUGCUGCAUUGUCUAUCAUGGCUGCAAAGCUAGCUUAUGAGAAUGAAGCAUCCAUUGAGACCAUUGUUACACACCAUUGGAAGGUUUGGAUUUAACACUAAAUUCAUUAAUUAUGUGAGUGAAAAUUAAGUUUUAUGUUGAGAUUGACAACUUAUUGUUUAAAUGCAGAUGAAGUUCUUGGGGAGUUAUAGUUUCUGGAACGGUAAGAUAAGCUCAGAGCAUUACUAUAAUAUUGUUGCAUUGUUUCUGAACGAUGGGGCAUCUAAAUUUAUGAAUGACACUGUUAAAUUAGUACGAUCUAAUUUAUUUGAAUUUCAUAGGAAUUAAAAAUUUAUAAUUUUACAACAUCAUUUACCUGACCAAAUGAUCCUUAAUUUAUCUUCAAGUUAACAAUUAAAAAUUGAUAACUUUUGAUCUACUUUAAUAGUACUAGAUAGGAAAUAUAGAAAAUUUAUGAAAUUUGAUUAUUAAAAAGUUUAAAUACGCUAGAUAAUGUUAGAUAUCACUGAUCAUCGAUCCAAAUGCUGCGUUAUGAGAAAUGACGUAAAAAUAAACGAUUUUAUUUACUUCCAGAAGUAUACUAGCUUUUGAUUUUUUAGUACAAAGGUGGUCAUUAAUUGGGAAUGGGCUAAGCACUAUUAAUUGGGAGCUCGGCCCAAGUACUAUUUUGGCUUUGGUUUUCUUAUCCAAUUUACUCUCACUUUGUACAACCAAAAUUGUUCUAUUAACAAAAAUGUUCUACUAUUUAUUUUUCGCAACAAUAAAAGGAUUAACAUGCACAAUACUAACUCAUUUUGCACACUACGUAGUACGUACCCAACCUCUUCCUCAAUCAUCGUUUCUCAAUUGCUACAUUGCAGAGUACCAAGGGGACUACUCCACCCAAGCCUUCAUGUUCUGCGACAAACCGACGGACGCCGAGCUCAUCGUAGUGGCAUUCCAGGGCACCGAGCCAUUCGACGCGAUGCAGUGGCGCACCGACAUCGACUUCUCGUGGUACGAGAUCCCAAACGUGGGCAGAGUCCACUUAGGCUUCAUGAAGGCACUAGGCCUACAAAAAACCAGUGUCGGAUGGCCGAAAGAUAUCCAAACAUCAGCGAAGCCGCUCGCUUACUACACCAUUCGCGAGAAACUUCGCGGUGCUUUGGUGGAGAAUAAGAAUGCGAGGGUUCUGAUAACCGGACAUAGCCUGGGAGGCGCGCUGGCGAUUCUGUUUCCUGCUGUGUUGGCGUUGCACGAAGAGCAUAACAUGUUGGAGAGGUUGGAGGGAGUGUACACGUUCGGGCAACCCAGGGUUGGAGAUAAGAGGCUUGGAGAGUUUGUGGAGGGGUUCUUGGAUAAGCCUAAGAGGAGGUACUUCAGGUUUGUUUACUGCAAUGAUGUGGUACCUAGAGUGCCCUUUGAUGACUCUGUUCUCUCGUUCAAGCACUUUGGCAAGUGCCUUUACUAUGACAGCUUCUACAGAGGAAAGGUGAGUCUCCUCUCCCUCACAUUCAUGUCUAAUUUGCUUAAAAGUGUUGGUAUUUGCAAAUCUUGCUUCGACAUUAAAAGAUCAGAUCAGGGUUUUUUUUUUUUUUCCUCCAAAAAGAAAAAUACUCAAACUUACUGGGCAAAUUAAUAAGUACGUAGGCAGAACACUGCAGAUUAGAAGAAAGUGUCAAAAAACAAAAAGCAAAAAAAGAAAACUAGUAAAAACUCUUAAAGUUGUAGGUAAUAACUAUUAUUUAGUGCUUUAAGAGCAAAAGAAUCAAUUCAUAGAGUAUUUACUCUGUUCCUAUUAAAAUUAUACAAUUGUUAAAUGUUCCCAUAUCAAUUCUCUUGGCGUAAUAUUGAAACAACAGCUUCUCUCUGAUAUACAUACUUGCGUUCUUUUUGUUCGGCGUAAUUUUGAAACAAUUGAUCUGCUUUAGAGCUUCAAAAGUUUUAUAAACAAAGUACUGGAUCAUUGAGUUUUUAUUGUGAUGAAAAAUUAAAAUGAGUUAUUGGGCUUUUUAAAUUGUACUUACCUAUGUGGCAUAAUUUUUAAAUUAUUUUUCUACUUUGGAAGUUCAAAACUUAGCUUCCUAUUCACUUCGUUCAAUUUUUUAAAAAAAAUUAGUUCGGCUGAAAAUACAUUAAGCAACAAGACUGCGAAACUGAACCUCAGAUACCAACCAUCGAGCUUUUUAGUCAAUUGCAUUAGGUAUAGUCGGUGAAAUCCAAAACUAUCAUAACCAAAUGUUUAAAUGAUAAAAAUUUUGAAACUUUUGCCAAGUUCUUGGGUUUCUUAAGUGGAGAUUCUAAAACAAAUAUGUAAUUUUUUUUUAAAACAAUAAAAUUUUUAGUACUACUCUCUAUAUAUUAAUAACUAAUUAUUAAUUAUUAAUUAUUUUAUAUUGUUGAGGUGCAGGUACUGAGCGAUGAGCCGAACAAGAACUACUUCUCGGUGUGGACGGUGAUCCCGAAGUACAUGAACGCAUGGUGGGAGCUCAUCCGCAGCUUCUUGAUCGGAUACGUGGAGGGCUCUGAUUACGCCGAAGGGCGGCUACUCAGAUUCGCCAGGGCCGUUGGAUUGCUGAUCCCCGGUUUGCCCCCGCACUCCCCACAAGAUUACGUCAACUCCACCCGAUUGGGGACUCCACUCGUGCCAGAGAAUUAAUUAAUGACUCCUCAACUUAAUUGCGUGAUAUUUAUUCACUAAAUUUAUACAGAACUUUAUUUAAAUUAUAGACUAUUUUAAAUUAAUAAUUUAAACUCUUUAAAUUUUAGUUUUUUAAUUUGUUUAAUUUGAGUCUGUCAACGAAAUUUUAUGUGGUCUAUAUUUAUAGAUUUACUUGUUAUAUUUCAUACAAUUUUCGCAACUAUAAAAAAUUUCUUAAAGUUAGUAAUUAGCUCAUGAUUGGUGACUCACUCAACUUAGACAAAUUGAAAGAUUGAAUAGUAAAAUUAAAAUUUUGAAAGUAUGAAUAGUCAUUUCAAAAUGAUCUAUAAUUCAGAUAAGUUCUGUACAUUUUUAUCUAAGUUAAAUGUAUCAGAAUCGUCCGAAUUGACGUCGCCUUCUUUGCAGAGAAGUAUUUAAACCCGGAAAAUCCUUAAUAUUAGCUGCUGGAGUAAAAAAUAAUAAAGAAUGUAUGAUGGUGAUAUAAUUAAAUAAGUUUUCCGGAUAUCAAAAUUAAUUUUGAUAAUAAAAUUUAUCAUAAUAAUAACAUUCAAUUUGUAGAACUCAAAUGCUAGAAAAUUAAUUUUUAUACUGUAAGGUUGAAUUUUGACGUCAGAAAGAAUUUUUCUAUAUUACUGGCAUGCUAUUAUCACUGUUUUAAAAAUCGGAUUGGACAAUAAUUCAAAAAUGUAACUGGUUCGACGUAGGACUGGCAAACGAGCGAGCCGGCUCGCGUUCGGCUCGAUAUUUGGCUCGCUCGAGCUCGACUCGAAAUUAAAUGAGCUGAACUUGAACAAAAUAAAAGGCUCGAAAUUCAUUUCAAGUCGAGCUUGAGUAUUACUCGGCUCGUUCGAAUUAGGCUCGAAAAGCUCGAAAAGUGAGCUGAGCUUGAACAAAAUAAAAGGCUCGAAAUUCAUUUCAAGUCGAACUUGAGUAUUACUCGGCUCGUUCGAAUUAGGCUCGAAAAGCUCGAAAAGCUCGAAUAUAUAUAUAUAUAUAUGAGUCCGGCUACUAUACUUUUAUGAGUAUUGGCUCCCUUAUACUCAUAAGUUUUCGGCUCUUAGAUUUAUUCCAUUGAUCAUUUUUACCCGUUAGAUCAUACUAUUCAACUAAUUACCCACUCAAUCCUAGGGGACCGCUAUCAUUUUAAGUGGGGACCACUAUUACACUAACCACACAUCCCAUCAAUCAACGGUUAAAAAUUUAUGAGUACAAGGGUGUCUAUACUCAUAAAAGUAUAGUAGUCAUAUAUAUAUAUAUAUCAAACAUUUUUAUAUAUUUUUUAAUUUUUGAUAAAUCAAAUUUAAGUANUUCUACAAAUUGUUAUAGUCAAUUUGUUAAAAAAAUAUCUCAAAUAAAAACAAACGAUUAUGAUCAAAUUAUUAAAAAAUAGUAUUCUUAUUCAUCUAUUUUACAUUAAAAUUAAAAUUUAAGUUUAAAUUAUGGAUUCAAUUUAAUUUUUGAUAUCAAAUUUGAAUUAAUAGUUAAUUUUUUUAUUACAGCGGAUCAAAAUUAAAUUUUAAAUUUUAAAGUAAAUGAAAAUUAAAUUUUGAUGCUUUUAGUUUAAGACACAUAUUUAAAUUUGAUUCAUCAAAAAUCAAAAGGUAUAUAAAAAUAUUCGAUAUAUAUUAAAAAAAAUACUGUAGGAUAUUGUUAAUAUUUUUUAAUAAAAUAUAACAUAUUAAUUUAUGAAUAUGAUUUUUAUUAUAAAAUUUUGAAUAUAUAUAAUGAACAAAUUUAUAUUAAUUUAAAAUAAAUUAUAAUAAUUAUUACGUGCAUUUGCACGUACAUUCAACUAGUUAAUAUAAAAGCACAUAACUUUACUUAAAAAAAGUUUAAUUUCAAAAUGUAGUAAAAUACAGUCCAAUAAUAUUGUUUCAAUUUCUGUCACCUGUCCAUGAACAUUCUUCAGAAAAUAAAAGAUAAAUGGGAAAGAUUCUGUCCCCUUUGAUAUAUUUGUUUUACAAAAAUUAAAAAAGAGCGGAGUUGUUUUUGACCGUAAAUCAUUACUUUCGCUGUUUGAUUUGUAAUAAAUUAAAUUUAUUAUUAACUUUACUUUUCAAAAUAUUUUUUUUUGGAUGGUGCCGAAGUCUAUUACUAAAUAAAAAUAAAAAAAUAAAAAAGUAAUAAAAUAAUUAACUGUUGUAAUUCUUUUUCCAUUGUCGGUGUAGAAAUUUUCAACAAAAUAAAUUAAAAAGAAUGAGAUAAUUAAAGUUUCAAAGCCAUCGUUUCCUUAUCUAAAAAACAGUAGGAAAUUAUUUUAUCUUAAAUUUUAAUUAAACUAGGAGUUAUCUUUAAAUUGAAAAUAAAUUUUGACAAAACAAACACGUCAUUUACGUCGUAGGCCUAAUUCGGUGAUAUGACAGCUAAAGACCCCAAAAAUCGAAAAGUGUUUAUAUAAUCUUCUUGUCUCUAAUCGUUUAAAAUAACAGUUGUAGCUCCUUAGAAGUAACAAUGGUGAAUUAAAUUAAUUUUUAUAGAAAAAAAAAUUAGAAAAUUUUUUAAGAGGAUAUUUCUGCAUAAUUUUAAAACUUUUUUAAAAAAACAUAUUUAUAAUGACAAAAUAAAUAUUUUACUUAUUUUUUAUUAAAUAAUAAAUAGUAAAUUACGAGUAAUAAACUAAAAGGACAAAUAUAAACAACACCAAACUUUUAAACAUUUAAAAACUUAAACAUUAUAAAAAAUAUAUCUGCCUUUUUAUUAUAUACUAGUGAAUUACCCGCGCGAUGCUGCGGAUAUAAAAUUAUUUUUAUAAUAAAUUAUAUAUUUUUUAAUAUUUUUAUAUAGUUUUAUAAGUCUAAUUAUUAAUUAAAUAAAAAGUUAUAUAAAAAUAAUUUAAAAUUUUAAAUUAUGAAAAGUUUAAAAUUUGGAAAUAAAUAUUAUAAUUUAAAAUAUAAAAUAUUAAAUUUAAAAUUUAAAACUUUAAAAUUUAAAAAUAUCAAAAUUUUAAAUUUUGUAUUAUAUAUAUGUGUGUGUGUGUGUAGAAGGAGAGAGAAGAGGAGGGUUGGGGGGACACGUGUCACUCUAAGGUCCCCCAAACUCUCCUUUAAUGUAGUUAAAUAAAUUUAAAGCGAGCCGUAUAAAAUUAAUCCAAAUAUGUAAUUUUAAUAAAAAUUAAAAUUAUAUUAUAUAAUAUAAAAAUAAUAUUUUCAACUAGCACGUGAAACAAAUCAGGCCAGAGCCAAUGUGAGCUGCAAAGGGCAUCCAAAGAAAAUGGGAGGGAAUUAUUUUUGAAAAACUUAAAAAAUUGAGUGGGCCCACACAUGCCAUUUUCAAACAAAUGUACGUUACACUGAUUAAUGGGAAUCAAUAAUGCCACUUUUUUGACUUUUAGUGGUGACCCUAGCUACUAGAUUACAGACGUACUAAAAAAAAUCUCUGUACUGCUAAAUUAUUGCCUUGAAACCGUUCUGCCAUUUUGCGGGCUUUUCCCAACCUUCUAUCUUUGUUUUUGUUAUCAUCUGUGUAUCACCGACACUUCUAUCAGUUUUGUAUGUUUAUAUCGAAUACUUGCAUGUUAGUAUCGGACACGUGUCCGAUAUGAACACUUUUUAGAUGCGCGUUUUAUGCCGAUACAUAGCGAUUUCAUAUUUUUAUUUUAUUUUUUUUAUACAUUAUAAAUAUAAGAUGUUAAAUAUUUUAGUUUUUUAGCAAAUUUUUGACGAAUGCAUAUAAAUUUUUUAGAUAAUAUAAAUAAUUUAUAUAUGGUGCAAUAUUUUUUUCUUAAAAUAUAUGAAUUGUCAAUAAAAAUAUUGCUAAAUUUUAUUCCUAUGAGAAAUAUAACAAUAUUUUAUAAAAAUUAAUAUUUUAUAUAUAAUAAAUAUAUAUUAUUAUANGUUUGUAAUAAUGCUAUUUUCAAAAAAAAUUGAAACUACAUUUGAUUAAUUUUAUAGAAUAAUAAGAAAUAGAAAAAAGGAAAGAUAAUGGCCGAAUUUGAUAUAAAUUAUAAUUUAAUAAAAAUAAUUUAUUAUAAUAUUUAAGUAUAAGUUUGUAUAAUAUUUAGGUACUAAUAAUAUGUAUUAAUAUAAUGCAACAAAUAAUGUAUAUAAUAAAAAUAAUUUAUUAUAAUAUGUAAAUUAUCAUCCCUAUAUAAUUUAAUUUACUUCAAUUUAUAAUUUUAAUAAAGAUUGAAAUUAAACAUUGAAAUAAUAUUAUUUUACCUAAAGGGUGGAAUAGUUUAUUCUAAAUUAUUUUGGAAUAAAAGGAAAUAACAAGAUUUGACCGCAAUAAAAUAUUCGACCAAAAAAAAUAAUCCCGUUUGGUGGAACAACGGAGACAACUUUUAUUAUUCGUUGAACCAAAUAGAGCCUUAAUUUUAGAAUUAAUUAUACUAUUGGUUUCUAAUAUGUAUCUAUUUUUUUAUUUAGAUUCCUAACUUUUCUUUUGCCUAUGCACGCAUAUUGCAUUAAUCUCAACUUUGCUAUGAAGCACAUGAUAUUUUUAGAGUCGAAUCAAACCAAGUUAUUUCAAAAACAUAAAGAAGUUUGUGCUGAGAUAGACAAAAAACUAUCAAAUAAUAACCAUAAUCUAUAUAACUAAGUAGGACUUUGUUGGAACUGUCAAGUCUAUUCUGUCAAAAUUAACAAAAAUUUAAAUUGUUGGAAUCUUAGUAAAGAAAGAUUUAGCACCCGUUUGGUUCAGGGUUAAGGGGUAGAAUAACUCUUUAAUCCGAAAGUUAUUUCCAAACACCUAAUUUGGGGGGUGGGGUUAGCUAACCCGAGCCCAUCCCACUACUUUAAUCAAACAAAAUACUAUUUCACCCAAUAUCCUUCUUAUCCUUCCUAGUCCAACCAAACACUAUUUUAUCUAUACCUGAAUUAAACCCAAUUCUCAAUCAAACGUAAAAUUACUCUAAUCCACCUUAACCCUGAAUUUAACCCUAUUCUUGGAAUAACAAAUUUUUACAUAAGCCCAAACCAAACGGUGGCUUAAAGUUAGAGACCUAGUUAGCCAAAAAAAAAAAGAAUUUAACCCUAUUCUUGAAAUAACAAAUUUUUACAUAAGCCCGAACCAAACGGUGGUUUAAAGAUUAGAGACCUAGUUAGCCCAAAAAAAAAAAGAAAAAAAAGUUAGGGACCACAAUAAAAAUCUGAUAAAGGUUAGGGACUACCGUUGCAAUUAACCCUUUCCGAAUCGUCCUCGUUUUCGAUUCAAUUAAUAAAAAACAAAAAAUGGAGAAUUCCGCGCGCCACUUGAACCAUUCAAACUGUGUCCCCACUCCCCCCAGUCUCUCUACCUAGGGUUAGGGUUUAGGAAAUGGAAGAGAACAAGUGGCAAGGACGAGGGCUCUUUUCAUUUCGCUCUACAAUUAUUGAUCCUAUUGAGUUCCUCUUGUCGUUUUUUUUUUUUCCUUUUUUCCCCUGUAAUUUGUAUAUAGAUAUGUGAUAGUAACUGAUUCAUUAACAUAAUAUAGAUAAUAAUGAUCUAAAUAAAGGAAAAAAUUUUAAACAAAUGGAGUAAGAGCUUGUGAAAAGUCAAUAGAUCUGACUUAAAAAUAAAAAAAAAAAGAGCAUCCUAUGCGAAUAAACUACAUGAUAAGAGACCAGAAUCUCUUUAAUUUUUUUUUUUUAAAAAAAAGGAAAUGAGAGACAUAAAUAAGGAAACAGAGAGUGAGAUCUCUUUAUAAAAAAGAGAGUUUAUAUUAAUGGGAUUUUUUUUUCUUUUUUUUUUCAAGUAUAUAAUUAACCGUUCUUGAGUUUCCUGCAACUUUUUGAGACAUUUUGGUACAAUCUUUUUCGUCUUUUUGGCAUAAUGCAUAGUGACCACGGCCCAGAUCCAGAUCUAUUGAAAAAGAGAUCACCUUCACCUUUCCCUUUCACACAACCCCACCCUCCUCCCCUGUUCAGCGUUCACACCACUAUUGAGAUUUGAGAGCGCAGAGGCGGAGGUUUCCGAACAGCCAUAGGCGAAGACGCUCCGAUCCGGCGGUGCUUUCGAUUUCCCGCUUCUUUACUUUUUUUGAAAAAAUUUCGCCGCCGCCGCGAAGGAAUGAGCAAGAGCUCUGCCGCUUCUUCCUGCAGCAGGUCGGGCCCGGGGACCCCGAACUACCUCCCCAAGGGGUGGAGUUCGGAGCGCGGCAAGUACGGCGCGAACACUGCGGUCUUGCUGCCCCUCGGCAACGGCAGGCAGCUGCCGUCGAAAUGGGAGGACGCGGAGCGGUGGAUUCUCAGUCCCGUCUCCGCUGAAAAUGCCGGCAGGCUUUCCGCCCGACCGCCUCACCACCGACGGCCCAAAUCGAAGAGCGGCCCGCUCGGCCACCCCUCGGGGUUCGGCGGCGCGCGCUCGUCGUCGGCUUCGCCGUCGGGCCCUUGCUUCGACACCGUCCUGAUGGAGAACCUCGCGGCCGGCUCUCCUUUCAUGGCCGGGAUUCUAAUGCCGCAGCGCGGCGGUAAUUGCGGCAGGCCCUGUAACGCCGCUGGCGAGUCGUGCGUGGCGCGAUCGGCGAGCGUGCACGGGUGGUUGGAUAUGUUGAUCGAGUCGUCUUCGUCGUUGCCUAGCUCGCAGGACACUGUACAAGGUUCCGAGCUUCUGUUACUCUUCUACUUCUAGUUUGCGAAUUGCGAGGAUACGAUUCUGUUGGUCGGAAUCGUCUGCGUGAAACUUACAGGCAAUUCUGGGAAUCGUCCUGCAAGUUUCUGAUUGAGAGUUUCGAAAACUGAAUACAUUGUCCGGAUAUUCACGCGACAGCUAUUUCUUGUUUUUUGAAGCGACGUUGUCAUUGUUUAUUAUUUCAGAAGUUACUUGCUAGUCGGUAAUAACACAUCCUCUGCGCGGUCGUUAUCGCUUAAGUACCUUUAAGAAUCUAAGUCGUCCUUAAACAGUAUAUAGUUUGAACAAUUUCAUUUCAGCAUGUUCAUAAGAUUGCCAUUACAGUCUCAGGGACUUUUCUAGAGCCUUCAUUUUGAGAUGAUUUUUGCAUAAUCCAUAAAUGUUCGUCGUGCUUGUUUAGUAAUUACAUACAUUUUGCACAUCAGAAUCACUUCUCUUUUCAUAGUACAGGACUUCAUCUUUGUGCGAAAACUGUUAAGGGUUCGUUUUCGGUUGCUGCAUUUGUAAAGGAGUAUACUAUGAUGUAGUUGAUAAUUGUGCAUUAACUUGGAUCAGAAUAACAGCUCACACUCUAAUGCGUAAUCUGUAAUAUUAUCUUCACGAGGCCAUGCUUUCGUUCCUGUCCAUUUGGCUGAUGAUAAUCUUUUGAUUUCGCACGCAGACGAGAGAACUGAAAAUUCAGUCGCAGUAGCCGCUGCGAAUUCUCCUCUUACUUCGAAGAAGAAUGUGGCUACACAAAUGAGUCCCGAGGGAAGCGCUCCCUCUUCUCCUGGAGAGAAUCCUUCGUUCUCCCAUUCGCCAUCGAACUACCGCAUUGAAGAGCUGGGGAGCCGUUUCGCGAAGCUUGAGAUCAAAGAUGUGCAGGUGGAUGAUCACGUGACUAUAACCAGGUGGUCGAGGAAGCACUCAAUGAGGAACUCUGAGAACCGACCGACAAACAUCAUAGAUUACUGGAGAAGACAGAGUGCGGAGAGUAAGGAUUCGUCCUCAGAAGUAAAUGAGACAGCAAAAGACAGAUCAAAGUAAGCGAAAAAUGUUACAAAAUUCUAAUGUAUCCCCCUAAAGCCGUUUACGUAACAAACAUCAUUUAUAGCAGUUGUACACUCUUACAUGACAUCCGAUCAAUCGCUCAUCAAACUACCACAUUCUAAGCAUGUGCUGCGUGGGCUCCAAUAGCUGAUUAGAAUGGCACAAUGUCUCAAUAAUAGUAAAUGCUAUAUCACUUUUCAUUGCUUUAUUUUCGUAACGAAAAUCAAUUAGCGACCAAUUUUCAAUCAAAUUGCCAUAGGUUUUGAAAUUCUACUAGUUCUUCUUGUGUGAUUGUUUCCUUUUAGUUGGAACCCUGAUUAACUUGAGUUUUUCUCCUUUUUAAGGCUUAAGAGAGAGGAGGCAAAGAUCGCUGCAUGGGAGAAUCUGCAAAAAGCAAAAGCCGAGACAGCAAUCCUGAAAUUAGAGGUUUCUUUUUUUUUUUCUAUAUCUGCAGAGUCUCUACCAUGCUUACGCUAUGAUUCGGUUUUGAAAUACGAAUAUGCUGUAAGAGUAAAGCAGGGUAUUUAUUUGUUAACGGAAUGUUGUGUUCUCUCAUUUAGAUGAAGCUCGAAAAGGAAAGAUCAUCCUCGAUGGAGAAAAUUUUGAUCAAGUUGAGGUCCGCUGAGAAAAAAGCCAAGGAAAUGCGCAAUGCUGCCUCUGCCAACCAAGCUCAAGACAUUUCUCAAACUCCAAGAAAAGCAUCGUACUUCCGCCGAGAUGGCCAAAUUCGUUCCUUGAGAAGUUGUUUCACCUGCCGUGCCUUCUAGCAUCAUUUUAUAUCAGAUAUCUGUUUCCUGCCCAUAACUUCGGUAAGUUCGACCUUCACUUUUAAAGUACUUUUGAGCUUUGGCAUAUUGUUGUCAGUUGGAUUUCGUAUACAUGGUAUCAUCUGAAGAUCAGAAAGAAAGAUAGCCAGUGUAACUUUUAAACUAUAAAUCGAAGUUCGGAAACACCUUAUUACGAUGGUUAUCGUAAGCAUCUUGCCAAACUUUUCAAGUAUGAGAUCGGUUGCUGAAACCGGAUGAUUGUUAGUGCAGUUAGGCUUUCUAUGUCAUGACAGUUGCUACAAUAAGUAUGGAUAAGGCUGACUUUCUAGAUUGAACUUCUUUGUCCACACUUUCUGCCCUAACAUUGCAAAAGCUUUUCAUAACUCAUUAGAUUGCCGUCACAAUCAGGCCCAUCAUUUUGCCAAUCUCGUGCCAAAAGCGAUCAGGGUGAAUUCCUUCACCAGAUUAUUUAACUCUCAACCAUGUUUUUCAUAGCCAUGCAUUCUCGUCAUAAUUAUGAUUCCAGAUUCUGUGAACGUUGGUAAAUGAGAGAAAUUCUUAGCUAUUGGAGGUACCGAAACAGGACUUUCAACCUUUCUGACAUUUAAUUUCAGAAGGAACUAAACUGAUAUUUUUGAUCGAUUUACGAUAAGAAAAUUUUAACCGGGUGCUCAACGAAUUAAGAUUCCAUCAAAUUCUGAACUUUACAGAUUAUUCAGCACACCUGAGCUGAACUCAAAAUAAUUCCUAAGAAUAAAUUUUACGUCCUGAUAUGCACCGAUUCUGGUAUGUAUAUAUAUGCAGGUUAUUAACUCUAAGAAUGCUGUUUCUUUUGCUUCUGUUUCAGCUGUAAUGAAUUGCUGCUAUCAUUUGCGGAUGCGAAACUAGCAAUGGUCGAAAUCUCAGAAGAUAUUUUAAAAUCUUCACACCUUUCCUCUAUUAUCUGACUAUUGAGUGUGUCAAGUAGGUAGUGCAUAUAUAAGGAUUUGUUCGCGCCAAUUAAAGGUUUCCAAUUGUAUCAUUUUGGCCCUAUUUACUGUAGAAACUUAUAUGUAGAAACUUAUAUGGAGAGUCUCUCCAUCACAUGUUAUGUAUGAAUCUUAAAGUAUAAUAGACGGUUGAUUAGAUCAUCUCGCUGUUGGGAUGCUCCCCGUAUAAAUUUGGUUCUGAUGAAUGUACCCUGCUAGCAUUUAUUUUGUGUUAUUUGUUCGGGUGUAGCCUCUCAGUUCUUGAUUAUAAGCUAUACUUUGCAUUCAUUUAUAUAUCUGAAGACACGCUAUAAUAUCUAAGUUGAUGGCACAUACUUUACUUUUUAGUAGAAUUGUCAAAACAUAUAUUUUGAUAGAUUCAUUACAAUAUGCGCAAGAUAAUGUUAUUUGAUCUAUGCACAAGCCCAAUUUUUUUCAGGGGAGUGGAAAGAUAUAUAUUUUAACACAUCCUACUUACAAUGCCAAACGGAGUCUCACAAGAAUGAGAUCGUGAUUUUAGGCUUCAAGAAAAGUGCAGGAUAAGCUUAUAUAGUAUUAAAUUAUGUCGUUACGCAUCUUCGGGUAAUUGAGAAUAUUGGUAAUUGAGAAUAUUUAUGUUAUACUUAUACAUGAAGUUUACAUUUAUUUUUUAAAUGUUUUGCAACAACAUAAAAUUACAAUAUAGAUUGAGUUAAAAGUGAGAUACACUGAUGAGAUUGAGCCUUAAUAGGCUCGUUUUGUCGUGUAUCCUUAAUUUACUUGAACUGAACACGCUUGAGCCAGCUUCCACAUGGCUAAUAUGUAUGAAGUUGGCUGAGAUGAAGCAGUCACUAAAAACUAUAAAAAGAUUUAAUCUGAGGGAUUAAUCAAUAAUUUAAAAAUCAGAUCAAAUCAGUUAGUUCGACCAGUCAGAUCGUGACUCAGUAUAUAAAAAGGAUCGGUUCAACCCUUCGACCGGUUCGAUUGUGAGUCAGUAUAUAAAAAUGUUUAGUUCAACCCUUUGAACUGGAUAAGUCAAAAAAUAUUAUUCCGAACUAUUCAAACCGACAGUUCAACCUUCAAACCGGUGAACUAGUCCGAUUUUAAUCAAACCAAUCGAAAUUUUUUUGAUCAAGUUAUAUUAAAAUCCAAUGGCCUAAAAUUAACUUGGCUUAUUUUUUUUUUCUAUUAACAUAGAUUAGCCUUAUUAAAAGUAAAACUUAGAUAUUUAUAUCUAUUUUAAUUUGAUUAAAAACCAGUAAUUUAUAAUUAAGUAUUUUAUUAGAAUAAUAUAUAUAUAUAGUCCGGCUGGUGUGUAUAUAUAUAUAUAUAUAUAUAUAUAUAUAUAUAUAUGGCUAAAUUACAGAAAACCUCCCUGUAAUAACCCGCUUUUUCACUUUUCCUUCCUGACAUUUAAAAACCUACACUUUGCCCCCCUGUAAAAUGAAAAAUGUUCACAGGGGGGUUACGGUGUGUAAAAUGACCAUUUUGCCCCUCGCCAUUGUCGUCUUCUUCCCCAUCUUCCUCAACCGCCCCUUUGUCCGGCCGCGAUUCCCACUUCAAUCGGCCGCGAUUUCUCUCCAUUUCCUUCUCCACCUGCUCCCCUUCUCCUUCUGCACCCUCGCCGCCCUCGAUUUCGGCAACAAUAGGAGACAACCGAGGUGGGCGACAGUAGGAGAAGAGCAAAGAAGGCGAAGGCGAGGCGGCGGAGGACGGCGAAGGGAAUGUGGGUGAGGGCGAGGCAGUGGAGGACAGCGAGGCGGCUAGGCGGCGAGACGGCGAGGCGGCGGCGAGGUGGCAAGCCGGAGGGAGGCGAAGCAACAGGGAGAUGGCGGAGGGGUAUUUUCGGCAUAAAAAUAUAUUUUUUAACAUAACCCUAACGGUAAGGGGUGAAGUGCACAUUUUUUAUUUUACAGGAGGGCAAAGUAUAAGUUUUUAAAUGUCAGGAGGGAAAGUGAAAAAGCGGAUUAUUAUAAGGGGGUUUUCUGUAAUUUAGCCUAUAUAUAUAUAUAUAUAGGCCAUGGCUAUUAUAUUAUUAUGAGUAUUGAAGUCCUCGUACUCAUAAGUUAUUUUAAAUGAUGGAGCUUCCGAAUCAACGAUCCACUCCGUUAAAUAUAAUCUAGAGUAUUUGAAACUUCUAAAAAAUAAAUUUUGUAAAUUUUCGAAAUCAUAAAAAAGUCCAUCAAGUUUGCAUAAAAUGAAUGGUCAAAAUCGAACGACGUCCUAAAAAAGGAUGAUCGGAUCCUUCAAUUCAAAAUCGGAGUUAUUGAACUUUAUCUAUGUAGUGAAUAUAAUUUUCUAUCAAAAAUUCAACAAAUUCCGAUUCUUUUACACCGUUAAACUAGCAAGUAUCCCAUACAGGCCGUUAAAAAUUGUCAAAUUUGUGACCUCUUUAUCGUAAGGUAAAUAAUGUCGAAAAAUUAUAAAAUUUGAUUUCUAGAAAUUUUAAAUACUGUAAAUAACGUUUAACGGUGUAGAUCGUCGAUUCGGAAGCUCUAUCAUCGAAAACUACUCAUGAGUACGAGGGCGAUCAUACUCAUAAUAGUAUAGUAGCCGAACCCAUAUAGGCUAGGGCUACUAUACUCAUAUGAGUAUAGAGCCUUUUGUACUCAUAAAUUUUCGGCCGUUCGGAUAAAAAAAUGUGUGGUUAGGAUAAGAGUAGUUAUGGUUAGGUUGAUAGUGGGUUCUCUAGGGUUGAGUGGGUGGUUGGUUGAAUAGUACAAUCUAAUGGGUGCAAAUGAUUAAAGGGUAGAUCUAAUGGCCAAAAACUUAUGAGUACAAGACGCUCUAUACUCAUAAGAGUAUAGUAGUCAGACUGAGUGGGCUGGGUAGAUCUGGUUGAGUAGAAAAAUUUUUUGUUUUUGAUUCGAUUGGGCUUUAUAUUUAGGCUUUAAUAGAUUUUUUAAAAAUAUUUUGGCAUAAAUGGAACACUUACACAAAAGCAUCCUACAAAUGUAUCCCUAUAAUCUAAUUCUGUUGUAGUGAUGCUAAAUCGUAGGUUGGUAAAGCCCUAAGUUUAGAACCUCAGGAGGGCUUUUUUGAAGUUUUCCUUAAUAUUUAGUGUUUACCACAUCUUCAUGCUGAAAUAUUGUGCAGCCUUGAUUGAAAUUCUAAAGACAAAAUUGAAGUUCAGAUCAAACUGCAAGGAGUAAGUUUCUAAUUAACACUAUAAAUAAAAUACUUCUUAUAAGUUUUAUUUCAGAAUCACCUAUAGUUGAGGGCUCUUCACAUAUUUUUACGUAAAAAUAGAAAUAAAUAAAUAAAAUAAUUUAUUUUUUACUUAAUUAUAUAUAAGUAACCUCUGUUAUUUUGCACAUAUAUUAAUUUCUAAAGGUAAAUAUGCAUAGAACUUAUGUGAACUAAAGAUCAUUUUGAUUCGACUACUCAAUCCUUUAAAAAUCUAAUUUUUAUUAAACAAACUGAUAGCUCUUCCGAUACAAAAUUUAAGUUAAUUAUUUAUUUUAAUAUAUUUAUAGUAACAUGAUCAUAUGAAAUAUAUACCUUUAAUGAUAAACAUCACAUUUAAAAUUUUAAAUUAAGAAGUCAUUAACCGGUCCAAAUCAAAUAAAUUAAAAUAGCCAAUAGUAAAAUUAAAAUUUUUAAAAGUAUGAUAAUUAAAUUAAAAUGAGCGAUAGUUGAAAUGAGUUCUAAACAUUUUUACCUUUUUUAAAGGGGCUUUUGUUUUUACAGCAAUGGUUCUAUAAUUAUUUUACUAAACUUAAUUUACAACCGGAUUGCAACUUCAUUGAUCCAAACGCCCCACAGGUUGGGCUUUUCUCAAUUAGGCUAUAACCAUGAUGGAUAGUUAGGCUUGGGGCAGACCAAUUGCAACUCGGACUUGAAUAGAUAUCAGCUGGGUUUGAGUCCAUCUAUUUGGCUAUAUAAUAUUUACAACUUAGCGAUCCAUUGAUAUUGAUUGAAAAUUCAUUAAAAAUUAUUGCUACGAAAUGUUAUUCUUAUAUAUUAUUGAUGAAGGACCUAGACCAUGCAAGAUUAUGCAAGAAAAAAAAAAACUAUAUAUGAACAUGUUUAGAAAAAUCCUUGUAGACAAAAAAAAAUUCUACAAAAAACUCCGAAGCAAAAGAAGCGUAUUAAUAGGCAAUACAUUAAAUCUUUUAAAAAACAUAGAGUUGAAUUAGGAUUUACAGUAGUACGGAAGUGAGGCAACAGUAAAUAAAUCCACAACAACAAUUCCAAAUCGUUGUUAGUUUCUUGAGAGAAAUAUAAAAAUAGUUAAUUAAAAAGGAAAAAAUAAGAAAAGCAAUUUGGAUUUCCGAAGCAGAAAGUAGUGUAGAAAACUAAGCAAUAAUUCAAUCUUUUUAUUUAAGCAAAGAAUAACUUAAAAAGUUUACAGGAUCAUAGAGUUGCUUUUGGAGUUACAAUAGAACAGAACCAAGGCAAUAGCAAAAAAGAUGUAGAAAAACGACAACCACUAAAAAGGGUCAAUUGGUUUAAUUAGAUUCAACUUGUGAUUAUUAGCCAUCUUGUAUAAUGCUUCUUCAUCUUUCUUGACAGUUCUUCGUAAAGCUUAAUCAUGAAAUUUUAGUGAAUUACUUUAAAUUUGGAAGAAAGGCUCUUAUUCUCAUAUACUUCUUUAUUCCCAUCUAGUUCUUCAAAUUUUCUUUUUCGUAAUUCCUUUGAUAGUAAUUUUGUUGUUUACUCUUUAUAUAUGCAUUCAAAUGUCAAACUCAAACUAUGCUAAGAGAAAAACAUAAAGCAUAAGAAGAAGUAUACUAUGCUUGUUGGGAAUCCGAUACUCGCCCCAGCACCGGAUUUUGAGAAUCCACAAUCCGUUCCGAUACCGACUGCUGUGGAUCCGGUGCCGAUUGUUGGGAUUCCGCAACGGAAACGUCAAAUCGAAUUUUUACCAUAAACCCGUCUCCUAAGCAAAAGCUAAUACAAUCACAAAAUAGAGAAAAACCAAAACAGAAAAUAUGCGGGUAAAAUAAAAUUUAUUAAAUAAAAGAAGAUUGCACCUGACUCCUCUUCUGCAACAGAAUAGCUACAAUCCGAGCCCUCUUUCUGAAUCUCUUCUACCAUUCUCUCGUCUUUUAUAAAUCUAAAGACAACUCUCUUUCUCUCUCACAUGCACCAGUGCACUAGAUGCAUGCAACCAGCCAACUCUCUCUCUGGUACUACCCACCAAAGAGCUUCAACUUUUUGGCAGUACUCCCUCUCCAAAAGCAUCCCAAAGGGUGCUUUUGUAAUGCAUCCUCUAAAACGUACGCGAAUUCUAGUCCAAUUAGAAUUCCUACUCCAAUAAAUAUUUAAAUUUAUAUAUCAUUUAUCUCCACUAGAUUUAAAUAUUUAUUCUAAUCUAGUUAGAUUCAUACUCUAAUUAAUAUUUAAAUCUUAAUUUAUCUACAAUAUAUUUAAAUAUUAAACCUAAUCCAACUAGAAUUAAUCUACAAAUUUAACCAAAUCCUAACAAUGCUAUUGCUUCUUCUUCGUAUAUAUUCAACUAUGCAUAAAAAUAAAACCAAAAAAAGAUUGGAGUAGACAAGAAGAAGAAUGAAUUUGCAAAAAUAAGAGGGAUGAAGAACCAACGAACACGUGCGAGGCAAGUGUUACAAAAAAAGAAAAAAAGGCACUACCAUAUGACUAUUUAUUUUGAGAACUAAAUUUAGACUUGACGAAUUCAAGAGUACAAGAACCAACACUACAAUUUAUCCAAGGAAAAAGAUAUUAUAUAAAACACUUUGCAAUGGUCACCAUAGAUUAUCUACAAAAGUUUUGAGCCUCGUGCUAUCUAUAAAAGCUAUAUACUAAUUUGCUGCUACUACAAAGAAGAACCAGGGCCAACUAAAUCUAUUUCGUGAGUUACAACAACUCAUUAAAAAGGAAAAGUCAUUUUCUUACAGGAAAGACACAGUCCUUAAACCACCGCAAAUUUUCUCUAACUCGCCCAUUCAAUAUUACUAUUCGAUUGCUACUGCAAGAACGAAACUUUGACACACAGCUAUAAACGUGGUUUUCUCUCACACAGAAUGACGGGUCGUUCUGGACCCACCUGUGUUUAUGAUGAGUUAGACACAUUAUAUUUAUUUUGAAUACUUAUUCAUUUGAGAGGUGCAUUUGAAACCGAACAUCAACACCCAUUAUAAGUUUCCAUAGGAUCCCUUGGCUAGACAUGAACAAAUAUUUGGUUGGAACCAUCUUAAUGUGAGUCUACAUGAUCCGUCAUUCAUAGUGUUUUGAGAUCUUUGCCAAUAGUACGAUGAUGAUGUAUUACAAAGUCUUACAUUAGGAAUGGUCCCCGUCAAGUUUUUGUUCAUUACACCCAGUAGUAGCCGGCUAAGUUAGCUUUGUUGCUUUUGGCUAUCAUAUUCCAAUUCUUUUAUCAAUAAUAAUAUUGUUUGCUUGGUGGUUGAUAUCCGAGGUUCCAAGUUCGAAUCUUAGUUGAUUCACAUUUCAAGUUAAGUUUAUUUCUAAAUAAAAUAAACGAAGUGGGUAGCAUACUACCUAUCUCUCAAAAAAAAAAAAUAAAAAUAAAAAAAUUGUUUGCUUGCCACUUGAAUGAGGAAUAAAUUUACUUCUUGUAGUCUCUAUUUGCAUUUCGAAUAAUCAGACACCAUCAGUUUCGAGGGAAUUGCUUUGGGCUCUCCACAAAGCGUCCUCUAUGAGUUGUUGAGUUGUUUGUGUGUUGGCAAAUUUAUGCGGUCCCCUGAACGUACUGCAUGCUUGAAUCAAUUGAAGACCUCCAUAUUAUGUAUGCUAACAUAUUUCCGACCCCUAAGACCAGCACUAAUGGAAAUUGUGAAGUUUAUAAUUGUUUCAAAAGCUUCAGGUGUUGUAUUUAUUAAUCCAUCCAAACACUACUUUCCUCAAAAGAUAAUUGCUCAUUUACUACGGUUCAACGGCGCAACAGUUUUUACAGUGCUUUGUUAAUUAGCUCAACAUUAGUAUACACAGGCCCUACUAAUUAGAAGUGAUAAUUUGAAGUUAUAAUGAAUUUGCCUGCUUUAGCUUGGGUAUUAAGAUAGCAUGCAUAUAUGCAAGUGAAGCGUUUUAUCGAAGAUCUCCACAAAACAGGAAAGCUAGAGAUAAAUUGAUUGCUGCUUUAAUUUUUCUAGAAUAAAUUGAUUGCAAAUUUAGUCCCUGAGCUUUUGAUUCCAAUUGGAGUACUCAAAUUUUAACAAUUUAGUGGGUGAAAUUUGUUAGCAACAAUUAAGCACUUCCUGUUAGACUACUAUCUAAAAAAAUAUCACAAAAGUCAUCAGCAAUACUUUUAAAAUAGAAACCUCAUGAACAUGUGCAGCUAAAUGAGGCCAACUAAAGGAUUUAAUCCUCAUACAGGACAAAUUUUAUAACUAAUCUAUUGAAAUUGUAAGGAUAUAGGAGGGUCAAACUCGAAGAGAAUUUUUUUAAUCUUUAUUUUGUUUUUGUUUCGGUGUGUAGAAGCCCUUUCAGCUCCUCUCAAUUUUAACUCAGUAUUGAGCUAAAGAAUGACAGACAAAUUCGCCGCAGUUGGCAUACUCCUAGUUACUUUGGGUGAUUUCCUAAAAGCUUGUGUUAGAACUGUUAAUUUUGAUCCUUUGCUACUGUAUGAUUUUGGCUUCUCACGUUCAAUAAAUUAACCAACAUAAUCGCGCACUUCUUUUGACUCAUAGUGUGUGCUUGGUCUAACUUUUAGAAUAACUCAUAUGAGUUUUUGAGCCUUCUACUGCUGCUUCUACUUCUUUAUCUGAUGGGUUUUAUUGAUAGGGUGACCUUGACAACAUUCAUAGGAAGUCGAGGUUAAAGGUUCAUAAAGCACAUUAAGACAACUUUGGUACAGAUGGUAGGAUUCCGAUUUCACAUCUCAAGAUUAAAAAUUGUGAUGUGGGACAAUUUCUGCAUUUCCAAGAUACGACAAAGUGAAUUAUUAAUCCAAAAUCAACACUCUUUAGUUUCAAAUUGAGAUGGGGUGGCUUUGGAUAUUAUCAUAAGCAUAGCCUAAGGCAUACACUAUGUCCGAAAGCUUGCAUAAUUGAAAUUGUAUAUGAGAUACUUUGUUGUCUGUUUUUAAGAAUUUUUCAUUUUACUUCUCAGUUCUGAAAUUUGAACCAAUCUGUGACAGUAUAUGAUAGAUGUUUCAAAUGAUGUCAAUCAACCUUGAUGUUUUCGAUGUUCAAACUUGAAAUUCAGAAUUCGUCAUAUCAUGAUUGUGGACCUUUUUGUGAAUCUUUAGAGUGCACACGACCAUUUUAUGCCAUUCUAUCUGAAAAUAUGACAUUCUUAUAUAUCAGGUGACUACUUCUUUGAAAAUAAGAGUCAAUGAAAUGAACAAUCAUUUCCGCCUCGCACUAAAACAUAAAACACAUAAAUACAUAAUAUUUGCUCUUUUGUUCCAAUAAUUUGGCUAAUUCUCCAUGAUGUAGAGGACCGUUUGUUCUAUAUGUCAACUAAAAGUUGUCAUGCUUUACUUUCUCAAUUCAUUUGGUUAUGGUUAUGAUAUGAGAAUUUUGGUACGAUAUUCACCUGAGCUGUUAAGGAUUUUUUAAAAUUCUUUAUAUUGCAUGUGUUCUCAAGAUUUCUUGUGCCAUUAUUUUUGUUGAAGCCUUUCUUUGGGGAUAACUAUGAUACUUGUCUAUUGUUCGUCUCCAUUAUACAGACAAUUAUUUACACCUGAAUUCUAUUUGAUUUAAAUUCUGUCUUAUUCAACCUUGAUUUGUUCGUAUUAGUAUCUUGUGCUCCUUUUGUCGGUACAAAACUCCAAAGGAGCUCCACAAAUGGAUCAAGAUACCAGCAGUUUUUUGAAUCGCUAUAAAAUUACACACCAAUCUUAUUAUCAGAGUUAGAAGUGAAAAUAGAGAACAUAUGCUUAGUGAUUCUAUUUUGUUUUUUAUUUUUCUUUAUUUACUUUUUCUUUUCUUUUUCUGUUCCAUUUCUAUCCAAUAAUACAGAUCAAGUGUGCAUAGUGAUUCUAUUUUGUUUUUUUUAUAAUUUUUAGCGUAAAAUUUUUUUUUGACCUUUUUUAUUUACAUUUUCUUUCUUUUUUUUCCCACUUCCAUCCAAUAAUGCAGAUCAAGUGUGCACAGUGAUUCUAUUUUGUUUUUUAUUUUUUUUUCAGCAUAAAACUAGCUCCUUUUUGAACUUUUUAAUUUACUUUUUCUUUUCUUUUUUCUUUUCCACUUCCAUCCAGUAAUGCAGAUCAAGUUUAAACUAUAAUAAAUACAUAGAAAUUUGUACUGAACACCAUAUUAAAAUAAAGAGGACACCAUAUUAAAAGGAUCGACGCAAACAAACAAUCAACUCCUAUAUCGAAAGAAAAGGAUGAAAACACAAAAACACAAAAGUUAGCUACUCACGACGCGAACAAAAUAAAAAUCCUAAAAGAAAGAGAAAAAAGAUGACAGAAUAAGGAAGGACGAAAUAAAAAAAGGGAGAAAGAAGGAAGAAAAAAAGGUAAAGUUUAGUUUUUACAGUUAAAAGGUGUCUUUGGAUUCUCAUCGGUUAGCAUCGUAUGUUUUGGACCACAUACGGUAGGCGAAUGAUCAGGAGAAGGCGCCAUCACAUAUUCAUCAGGAUUUGCCACCGUGAUCUCAUCAUCCAUUGGAACAACGUUGAUUGGUGAAUUAUUUCAAAAUAUCUAUUAAUGUUUUUCUUCAUUUCUUCCAAGCCAGCAACAAAUCGGUCCCUUUCUAUGAUCAAAGAAUUAUAAAACCUUCUAAGAAAGUCGUAGUCUAACUUAAGCAUUUCAUAUUCGUCACGAAGCUCUUCACGAUCGUGACAAAUCUGAUUGUAUAAACCUGUUAAAUAUUUUCUUUCCUCGUAAUAUGUGUCCGUAACUUCAAAGCUUAGCUAGUUGUAGGGCUGGCAAAUGAGCGAGCUGGCUCGCGUUCGACUCGAUAUUUGGCUCGCUCGAGCUCGACUCAAAAUUAAAUGAGCCGAGCUUGAACAAAAAAAAAGGCUCGAAAAGCUCGAAAAGCUCAAAUAUAUAUAUAUAUAUAUAUAUAUAUAUAUAUAUUAGAGCUAAUAUGCUAUCGAAAGUAUAGAGGAUCUGGUGCUUUCGAUUUUUUGAUUCUUAAAUCAACCCCUUUAAUCAUUUUUUAUCUUUUGAUUAAUAUUAUUAUUACCUUGUAGGGACCACUCAAUUAUAGGGGUAUUAUUUAAUUCUAGGGAAGACCGCAAUCAUCCCAACCAUACAAUUCUUAAUCAAAUGGUCAAAAUUUCGAAAACAUCAAAUCCUCUAUAUUUUCGAUAGCAUACUAGUUCUACACUCUAUAUAUAUAUAUAUAUAUAUAUAUAAUAUUUUAAUUAUAUAUAGGCUGAGUGAAUAAUCUCAGUUUAGUUGAAAUUGGGCCAAUGUUGUUGGUCCAUAAAAACAAAUCCAAUAGGCAAAUAAAAAAGCAAAAUUUUAUUAAAUUUAUACAUUUUCCUUUUCUUUCUUUCUUUCACAGAGCUCUAAAUUUUCAAUAUGUUUCUCUCUUUCUCUUUUUCUGUCUCUCACCCUAAGUGGCCAAGCCGGAAGCCCUCCAAGUUACCAACUAACAGCAUAUGCCCACCGUUGACUAUCUUAUUAUUAAUUGUAUACUUGAGAAAAUAUACAGAAUAUUUUUAAAAUAAAAAAUUAUUAUUCAUAUAAAAUUUUAAUUUUAGUUAUAUAUGAUUGGAUAGUUUAAUCCAAUAUUUAUCUAUAUAAUUUAUUUAUUUUUGACUGCAUAAAUGGAAAUGAAUAAUAUGGAGAUUGAAGGCGGAAGAGAAGACAUGUGAGGCUGAAAAGAUUAGAUAUUUAACUCAUAAAUUAUUUUUCUUCAUAUUAUAAUAGUAUAUUUCAUAUAAUUAUUUUGUACUUUGAACUAUUAGACAUAUUUUUGUAUCAAAUUAUAGAUAAUGUUCUAUACAAAUUAAACUAUUGAUCGUAUGAUGUUGAGAAUUUCAAGCAGCUCGUUUAGGGCUCGAGCUCGCUUGACUCGAAAUUAGGCUCGCUCGAGCUCGGCUCGAAUUAAUUUCAAUCCAAGCUUGAGCUUAAAUUUAGGCUCAAAAUUAAUUUCAAGCCGAAUUUGAGCCGAUGUAAGCUUGCUCGAGCUCGGCUCGUUUCCACCCCUAGCUAGUUGCGAAGCCUCCCAAUAGCAAUCCUUGCAGCAUCGUCUUUGGUACGAUUAGCAUUCGAAGACAAUGUGCCCCAACUUGUAAUGACUUCUAUAUAUGAUUCGGCUACUCCGAAUUUCUACAUCGAAGUAAGAGAAAAAUCUCAAGCCCGCAUGUAAUGUCAUUCCGUACCUUGGAGCAUGAGGCGAAAAUUUAGCGCAGAUCUUGCGAAGUAAACGGCGAAAAUUAAUAUCAACGCUAAUAGGUGUUGCCAUUGUUGUAGUCAAAUGAAAGAUGAGAGGAAGUAUAGUUCAUCACUCCGGAAGAGGAGUGAAAAAAAAUUCUAAGAAUUGGGAUAAGAAUUUGGAGCCGACUAAUAUUAAUCUACCGUAACGAUUUGGUUCGGUUCAGAGGUUCAGAGAGAGGCUGUUUAAUAGUUCAGUUCAGAUGUUUAGAGAUACAAUGAGCAGUUCAGUUCAAGUGCUAGAUAAGUAGUCCGAUUUAGAAUGCAUUUGGUUCAGUUUUCAUACAAAAAAUCAGAGAGGCAAUUCAUUGUUUCAGUUCAGAUGUUUAGAGCCGCAAUGAGCAGUUCGGUUCAAGUGCUAAUUUAGAGAAGAGAAAAGUAAGAGAAGAUAGAGAAUCGGUUCAAAUAGGUGGUUCAGUUCAAAGUGGGGCUAUGAGGGUUAAAAGUGACUUGCCACGUGGCAAGAAAUAUUAUGACUUUAUAUAGGUUUAUAAUUAUUCAUAACACUGUUAUUAUUUUAUUCUACAAUGAUUCCUCCUCCACUUUUAUUUUGUCAGUGCUUUAGGCAAAAUACAUAACGAAAUUUAUCGGAUACAUGUGCUAGAAUCUCCCACACGCAAAAUUUUUAAUGAGGCCCAAACUAAAAAGGUGUCCUCCACGUACGUAAGUAGAGAACAACUAGGGCAAGAAACCUACCCCAUGCAUGCAUGCAUAAAUACUCCACCAGAGUCGUUACACUUUCCAAUCCUAUAUUAAUUCCAAGAUCCCUGACUUGGGCAUGCCUUGUUGAGUUAGCAUCUACAUAUGUGCUCUAUAUAAACUCUCCAAAUACGAGAACUAUACGUAUUUUUACAUAAAACAAAAAUGAAGAGUAAACAACUCUUUCUUAGCCUCACUCUCGUAGCAUUCCUCGCCUUGCAACAAUGCACCGCUUCCGUCGGCGGCGGCAUCGGCAGUGGCUCGGGCUUUGCGAGGGCGAUCGGGGCUUGUUUCGUGGUCGAUGGGCGCCCGUUCUACUCGAACGGGUUCAACGCGUAUUGGCUCAUGUACAUGGCGUCGGACCCCGCGGACCGCGACAAGGUGACCACCACAUUCCAACAAGCCGCUGAUCUUGGAGUCACAGUGAUCAGGACUUGGGCUUUUAGUGAUGGAGGAUACAGGCCAUUGCAGUACUCUCCACGGAGGUAUGUUAGAGGUUUGGUGUUUAUACUAUACAUAUAUAUAUAUAUUAGUAUAUAUUAUAUAUUGCUUGUCACUUUUUUAAGCGUAACACGUAAUGAUAAAUUAUAGCUUGCUUAUAGAAUCAUAGAAGCAAUUUAAAUAGUUAAGUCAUCUAUAUAUUAUGCUAUCAAGAUACCACACAAAAUUUGUUUUUUUUUAUACGGUGAAGAUCAUACACGCAACAAACUCAUAAACUCGUUUUAGUACAUGUUUGGGUGCGUAUCAUUCGUCAGAAAGAAAAAAAGUGUAUGCUGAGUUGACAUUUAAUUAAUUAUAACUAGGUUUAUUAUAUACUUUUAUAUAUAUAUAUUAUAUAUAUUAUAUAUAUAUAUUUAUAUGUUAUAUAUAUUAUAUUGUAUGUAUGUAUGUAUGUAUAUAAAAUAGUUCGAUUGAUCCUACACAAUACAUGAUCAAAAUCAGAUCGAGCAGAUGACUAGUUAUUAUAUUAACGUGUUAGAUGUUAACGAACAUCAUCAGUCUGCUAUAUCGAUAUUGAAUUUGCGAAAAUAUAUGUCAAAGCACAUCGGUAAACUAUAUAUGAGCAGAUGCUAGUUAUUAUCUAACGUGUUAGAUUGUUACGAACAUCAUCAGUCUGUACAUCAAUAUGAAUUUGCGAAAAUAUAUAAAGCACAUCUAAACUAUAUAUGAACCAUUUUUAUUUUAAGUCAGUUAAUAAUAUUUUGACUUUAAAAAUUACGCUAAUUACUUACUCUAGUGAAUUUAUUGUUGUAAAUUUUAUAUGAAACAUAUAUACUAGCUAAAACUGUAAAAAUAAAUGACAUGUACAUUUAAAUUUUAAAGACAAAGUGUCGUUGGUUUUGAAAUGUUAGAUAAUAAAAUAAAAAUUUUGAAAAAUUGAAUAACCAAAUCUAAAUGAUUCACAGUUCAUGUUACUUCUGUACGUUUUACUAUAUACAAAACUUAGAAUUCUAGCACAUGUAUCUACAAUGCAAAAGGCUUUUUGGUCUAUCUAGUGACUCUUGUGGGCUGAUCCGAGCUUCUUAACUUGGUAUCAGAGCUUGUAUUUUUAUUUUUAUUUUUAUUUUGUUUGUAAUCAGGGGUUAGAUUUUGUGAUAUCUGAGGCCAAGAAGCAUGGGAUCUACCUAAUACUGAGCUUGGUUAACAAUUGGGAUGGUUUUGGUGGGAAGAAGCAAUACGUGCAAUGGGCAAGGGACAAGGGCCACUACUUGGGAUCUGAUGAUGAUUUCUUCAGGGAUGAUGUUGUAAAGGGAUAUUACAAGAACCACAUCAAGGUUAAACUAACUGAGUUUUUGAUUAGUUUUUAUGUUAAACUUAACUUGUUAAUAAUAUACGAUCUCUCCUUGUAUUAGUUCUUUAUUAAUUUGCUGCAAUAUAAUUAAUUAAUUAAUUAAUUAGGCAAUUCUCACGAGGGUUAAUACCAUAACUGGAGCUGCGUACGAGGAUGAUCCCACCAUAUUUGCGUGGGAGCUCAUGAACGAGCCAAGAUGCGAAAGCGACCUCUCGGGGAAGACCCUGCAGGUAAUUAAUUAUUAAUUGCAUGAUAAUUCAUCUUAUUAGUAUGUAUAUGUAUAUAAAAAUUAAAAAGGAAAAAAUAAUACACAUGGCAGAUGUUUUGAACAUACAUCUUGUUAUAUAAAACAUGUUUAUUUUAUCAAAAGUCAAACACGGUGAAGUUGUUUUUGGCUGUAAAUACUCAUUUUCAUUACUUGAUUCGCUAUAAAUUAAAUUUUUUCAUACUUCCAACCUUUUCAAUUCCCCUACAUAUGUGAAACGAAGAGAUUAAAAAACAAGAUACUAUUGCAACUUUUUUGAUCCUCCUAAUUCACUACAACAGAAUUAGAUUAUAGGGACACAUAUUUGGAACACUUUUGUGUAAGUAUUUUAUUUAUGCCAAAUUUUUUUAAAAAAAAUUACUAAAAUCUAAAUAUAAAGCCCAAUCCAAAAAAGUUGCAAUAGUAUCUUGUUUUUUAAUCUCUUCGUUUCACAUAUGUAGGGGAAUUGAAAAGGUUGGAAGUAUGAAAAAAUUUAAUUUAUAGCGAAUCAAGUAAUGAAAAUGAGUAUUUACAGCCAAAAACAACUUCACCGUGUUUGACUUUUGAUAAAAUAAACAUGUUUUAUAUAACAAGAUGUAUGUUCAAAACAUCUGCCAUGUGUAUUAUUUUUUCCUUUUUAAUUUUUAUAUACAUAUACAUACUAAUNAAAAAAAAAAGCUCGGAAUUCAUUUCAAGCCGAGCUUGAGCAUUACUCGGCUCGUUCGAAUUAGGCUCGAAAAACUCGAAUAUAUAUAUAUAUAUAUAUAUAUAGUAGAACUACUAUGCUAUCGAAAGUAUAGAAGAUCAGGUGCUUUCGAUUUUUUGAUUCUUAGACCAACCCUUUUAAUCAUUUCUUAUCUUUGGAUUAAUACUAUUAUUAUCUUGUAGGGACCACUCAAUCCUGAGGAUAUUAUUUAAUCCUAGGAGGGACCGCAAUCAUCCCAACCAUACAAUUCUUAAUCAAAAAGUCAAAAAUUCAAAAACAUCAAAUCCUCUAUAUUUUCGAUAGUAUAGUAGUUCUACACUAUAUAUAAAUAUAUAAAUAUAUAUAUAUAUAUAUUAAAAAAUAUAUAAAUAUAAUAUAUUUUAAUUAUAUAUAGGCUGAGUGAAUAAUCUCAGUUUAGUUAAAAUUGGGUCAAUGUUGUUGGUACUAAAUUUAACAUUUCCAUCUUAUUUCUUUCCUUUCACAAAACUCUAAAUUUUUCAAUAUUUUUCUCUCUUUUUCUUUUUUUGUCUUCACCCCUAAGUAGCCAAGGCGUAAAAAAGACGCAUCCUUCAAAAGUUACCCAAGUAUCAGCAGAUCCGCCAAUUGCCUACUGCUUGCUAUUAAUUAAUGCUUAGAGCAAAAAACAUGAAUAUUUUUUAAAAUCAACAAAUUACUUCUUCAUCAUAAACAUUUAAUUUUCAGUUAUAUAUGAUUGCAUACGUUUACUCACAUAUUUAUCAUAUAAUUUUAUCUGUAGUUUUGACGCCGGCAAAAUGAAAAAUGAAUAAUAUGGGAUUGAAGGCGGAAGAGAAAGACAUGUGAGGCUGAAAAAAUUAGAUAUUAGACUCAUCAAAUCAAGACAUGUGAGGCUGAAAAAAUUAGAUAUUCGACUCAUAAAUUAUUUUUCUUCAUAUUAUAAUACUAUAUUUCAUAUAAUUAUUUUGUAUUUUGAACUAUUAGACAUAUUUUUGUAUCAAAUUAUAGAUAAUGUUCUAUACAAAUUAAUUAAACUAUUGAUUGUAUAAUGUUGAGAAUUUCAAGCAGCUCGUUUAGGGCUCGAGCUCGCUCGACUCGAAAUUAGGCUCGCUCGAGCUCGGCUCGAAUUAAUUUCAAUCCAAGAUUGAGCUUAAAUUUAGGCUCGAAAUUAAUUUCAAGCCGAAUUUGAGCCGAGGUAAGCUCGCUCGAGAUCGGCUUGUUUCCACCCCUACAAAUAAGUGUUGGUAACUUAGCAGCACCUUUUUUAGGUUAUACCAAUACUCUUAAACUGUCAUUAUAUACCUAACGACCCCACAUAAAGCAACACUUUUUAAAAGUGUAGGUAAUUUAGUCAGCAGUAUUUUUGUUGACCUGUACCGACAUUUAAAAGUAUCGCUAUACACCAUUUUUGUUGUAGCGAUUCUAUACUUCUGUGAAAAUUUUUAAUAAAAUAAAUCAAAACGUAGGAUGAUGAUAGUUUCAAAGUCAUUGAAUUUCUAUUAAAGAAAUACUAGUACAAAAUAGCUAAAAUAAAAAUAGCAAAAAUAGCUCUUGAAAAUGAUAAUUUUUAAUCACCGAGAGCCAAACAACUCAUGUAUCUUUACAAAAUAGCUAAAAUAAAAAUAGCAAAAAUACAUACUCUUAUAAAUACCCACUUUUUCACUUUUUUCAUGACUUAAAAAAAAUCUAAAUUUUACCCUCUCAAAAUUUUAAAUUAAUAUACUUACCUUCCCUAUUCAGGUUAUGCUGCAAUAAUUCGGUCUAUUGUUUAUAAUUUAUAAUUGGAUAUAUCUACCUUCCCUAUUCAGGUUGUGCUAUCAUUCUGUCUAUUGAAAAUAGAUGGAAUACAUAAAGAAAUUAUUUUUUUUCUAUUGAACAGUAAAGAUAGUUUUGUUAUUCUGCUCUCUCCGUUAACGUCAUAACCUUCUGAAAACAUUUUCAAAUUUUAAUGAGGGAGAAAAAUAUAGAUUUUUGAAAGUAAAAAAAACAGUAAAAAAACGGAUAUUUACGUAAAGGUGUUCUGCAUUUUAGCUUUAAAGAAUUAUUAAUAAAAAAAAAUUGAAUAAACCUGGUUACUUUCAGCCAGUACUAAUUAAGCGACUAACCUCAGUCAAUUUAUCUGUUAUUAUUAAUUUCAGAAUAUUAUUAAUCUGAUCAGCCAUUAAGUAAAUUCAACAAAUUUUAGGGCUAAAUUAAUGUAUAUAUGGUUAAUUAAAACAACUAUAAUGUUCAUAAAGAUUAUCUAAUUUUCUGAAGUUUCAAUAACUACCUGCAAUUAAACAUAUAUUUAGCAAAAUCUGUAAAAUAUUAUAGAUAAUUAACAAUUCAUUGAACUGAUACAUGAUGGUGGUAAGCGAAUUUACUAAGCAUGCAAGUAUGCAACUGAUGAACACAUCUGAUUUAAUGUGCAGGCAUGGAUCACAGAAAUGGCUGCUCAUGUCAAGUCCAUUGACAGCAACCACAUGCUCGAAAUCGGGAUCGAAGGAUUCUACGGCGAGUCGAUGCCGGAUCGUAAGCAAUUCAACCCCGGCUACAAAGUCGGCACCGAUUUCAUCUCCGACAACCAGAUUCCUGGGAUUGAUUUUGCCACAAUUCAUGCAUACCCUGAUCAGUGGUGAGCACUUAAUCCUGCAAUUCGAUCGAUUUGUUGCUCUAUAAAAGCUUAAAUUACUAGAGAAUGAUAUUCAAUGUACAUAUUCUAUGUAUUGGGCCCGAAAAUUUUAAAUGCUUUUUUUUUUUAAUUUCUCUUCUAAUAGUAUAAAAUAAUGGUGAGAACUGUCCAAAAGUACGUCAAUUUUUUCGGCUUUUUAAAAUAUAAAAACAUGUUAGUUUGGCAAUACAAUAUACCUCAACUAGAUCUAAUUGGUUUUGCUUUUGGAAAUUUAUGUAGGGAUUUAUUGUACUUGCCUUGUGAGAUAAUUAUUUGCAUCAUUCUAGGGAAAGAAAAAUUGAAAAAAAAAAUCCACCAAAAAUAACAAUAAGGAAACACCAAUGCUAUCAUAUUUCUUCUUUUUUAUCUCUCAAAAAAAAAAAAAAAAUUCUUCUUUUUUAAACUGAAUAUAAAUCUUGUGUUCAAUGUCAUUUGUUCUUUACCAACUAAAAUUUUUAUAGAAAACUAGUUUCUCACUUAAUACCAGAAUUUUCUGUUUUAGAAAAAUUAAAAAUAAAAUUUGCUCCCUUCAUAAUUGGGUUAAUUACAUAUGAAAUUGUAUAUACUUAUUGAACAUAAGAGCAUAAGAUUUAGUUUAUUAUUGAGAUUUUUUUAAAAAUUAAUUUAGCAUUUUUUAAUAUAUAUAUAUUUUUUAUAAUAAUGCGAAUGGAGUGCACCCUAAAUCUACUGAGCUCAAAAUGGAUGGAACGCAGGAUCUCGGGCUCGAGCGACGGAGACCAACUCGCGUUCGUGCAAACGUGGAUCCGAGCCCACGCCCGCGACGCGGCGGCGGUGCUCAAAAAGCCGCUCAUGCUCACGGAGUUCGGCAAAUCGUCGCGGUCCCCGGGCUACACCGUGGGCGCACGCGACGCCUACUUCCUCGCGGUCUACGAGGCGGUCUACGCCUGCGCGCGCGGCGGUGGACCCUGCGCCGGCGCGAUCUUCUGGCAAGUGAUGGCCGACGGGAUGGCCGCGUGGACCGACGGCUACGACGUCGUUUUUUCGCAGAGCCCCUCCACGAAAAGCGUUAUUGCGCAGCAGUCCACCAGGAUUUCGAACCUAAAUGUCCCUGCUAGUAAUAAUAAAUUUGUUGAAGGGGGUUUCGAUAAUUUGGUGCGAGGGGAUUAGUUAAUUGAGUAAGUUACUCGAAAUAAAAACAUCAAAGACUCUAAUGUACUUUUUUUUUUUUUUUGUAAUAAGAAGAUAGGGUGGUUGAUCCAAUGUGGUAGGAUCAUUAAUUAAUAAAAGUGAAUGAGGAUGCACGGAGCCACGGAGUUGUAUGAUCACUGGCACUAUUUGAAAUAACUGAGUGCUCAGAAAAGUUUAAUCAGCAGGAGAGUAACAAUUUGUCACAGAAUUUGCUUAUUUUGGCGCUCAAGUUUUUCGACAGAUCCUGACGAUUUCGAAACAGAUUGAUUUUUAUUUUAUUUUUUUUUUACCCUCAUUUAUCACUUUAUUCGGGAUCAGUUGGGAUUAGAAUGAAUCUUUGACAAAAUCAGAAUAUAUCUGACGGAAGCUUCACUGAUCCAAAUCAAUUUGCAGCCCUACCCAUGGGGUCUUUUUUGUAUUUUUAUUUUUUUAAUCAUUGCCUGUAGGUCCGUUGUCCUAUCUCCCAUCCAUCCCAAACUGAUCUACUGCUAGUACGUAUCAGAUAAAAUUCCUUUUUUUUUUUUUUUAUAAAUAUACAUAUGCAGAAUUCAAAAUCUUUUAUCAUUCAGAAACUCGAUCUAUACCAUAAGAACCACUGUACUAGAAAAAAGUUUUUCCACCUAUGCAACUUAUCAUUAGGAUGCCAGUGCAUGCCCAAGGGCUCUCCCUGCUCUCAUCAGUUGUGGAAGCAAUUAAAGUGUGUGAGAAAGAUAUAAAAAAGAUAUUAUUAAUGAGAUAUACAGUACAUCUACUGGCCCCAUUUUCUUGAAAAAGAAAAAGAGAAAGGAAAAAAGAAAAGUACAGCUGCAUGCAAGAAAUUUCAAAUGAAACUUUUUUAGCAACAUUUUUGGUGCCAGCUUCUUCUUUCCAAGAAGAAAACAAAAGACAGCUAAUUAAUACAUAUCUUUUUUGGUGCAACUUCACACCACAUACAUAUAUAUUUGCUACAUUAACAUCUCCUCCAAAUCUUCCUUCGGAGGAUUUUCUUUAGGGCCAAUACUUUAGCUCCAUGCACUCUAAAACAAAACCAAUAAAAAAAAAACUAAAAUAAAACUCUCUUCUUUUAUUUACAACUUCUUUGAGAAAAUGUAUUCAAGCAAGACACAAAUAUCUCUCGUACCUUUUGGCCUAUAAAGCUACUAAAAAUUUGAUCCUUGCACCUUCACCGUAAAAUAUCUUUCUAUUAGAUCAGUCCUUUCGGAUAUGUUAUCUUCAAUUGUUAGAUCGUUUCACACGAAUUUUAAGAGAGAAACUGCGCCUGAAAAAGACGGAUCUGAUAGAAUUUCAUUUUCUUUAUCCCUCGUACCAUGCAUGCAGUUCAGUUGCAGACUUUUCCGCCGCGCUGCUGCACCGCCGCCGCCGCCGCAGACACGCCCAUCCACGGCGGCGCGCCGAAUCCCAUCUUCAUGGGCCGGCGCUCGUCGACGCCGCACGCGUCGCCUUCCUCGCACAAGCCUCUCUUCCUCAUCCCUCCCUUAUUGCCCUCCCCCACCUCAAGACCUUUCAAAAUCACCCCGAAGAGUUUGAGCUUCCCCUCCUUAGCCUCUUCUUUCCGUUCCACCGCAUCCUCUCUCUCCUUCGUUGUCUCCUCCGCCGCCGCGUUCUCCUGCAUCAAAAGGUCGAAGUUGAGCCCCCUCACGUCCACAAACUUCGAUAGAAAGCCGAGGAGCUCGUCGCAUUGCUGCUUCGCCUGCGCGAGCUCGGUGCUUAGGAUCUGGUUGUGCUUCUUGAGCUGCUCAUUCUCAUGAGACAGUUGGGCUAGUUUUUGAGUUGGCGGCGGCGGCGGAGAAGGGGAGGAGGUGGAGGAGGAGCUGUGGACAUCGCCGGAGUUGGUGACGGAGGAAGGAGGGAAAAGUAGGGGAGGAGGAGGCGGCAGCAACUGCGCGCUGCAGCCGGAUGUUCCGGGCUGCGGAGAUUGGGGCAGCGGGGGUGCCGCCUUGCGGCGGCGAAUGCUGGAGAGUAGGCCUUGCUCUCCCCGCCGGAAGCUCUCGUUCGCGAACUCCCACCUGUGCGGCACCACCUUGCGGAAACCCUGCAUAUAGAGAGACUUCAGAUUCUUACGUCUGCGAUAGCUGAGAAAUUAGUGAAUAACUACUACUACUACUNAAAAACUUUCUGUACAGAAAAAAAUGGCAGCUAAAUUCAAAGCGCCAAUUUCCGAUUAUUUUAACUGGCCGGCCAAAAUUAUUAUUAUUAAUAGUAUUAAAAUGGAUAUAUUCUAAUGUAAUAUUGAAUUUCUAUGAAUUAUUUACGGACUUUGCCUAAUUGUAUAUAAAAUAUAUCAUACUAAUCCAAACGGUACUUCUAAUUGAGAGCACGUUUUUCAAAUUUUGAACCAUUUUCUUUCAAAAAUGUUUAUGUUGACUUUGUUGUCAAAUACUUCAAGACAAAUAUAACCCAUUAUAAUAUUAAAUUAAAUUAAUGCUCUUUCCCCCAUCAAGAUAGCGGUGAGGAGCAGUUGCGGUGGGUCAAAACAGUGGAAAUUGCGAUUGGAUCUCGCACUUCAAUCAAGUCGCAUCUUAAUCACAGUUUGACUCGUGACCAAAUGUGUGUUGCUGAGUCUCAGAAAGCGACAAAAACAUUUAUAAACCUUUUUGCUGUUUUCAUACGUUAACUCUGAAAGCAAGGUUUUCUAUUUCCCCUCGCUCUUCUUUGGUGGACUUACUCUACAGCGGUCACAUGUGUUGUUGUGACUUGUGACCAAGUAAAACACGUACAGCUGAGUCUCACUAUACCCAAGACUCAAAAAUUUUCAUUUGAAUAUUUUGUACCCUUUCAAGUACGAGAACUUAACAGACACAAAAAAAAAAAUCUCAAUAUAAAAAUAUUUUUUAAAAGACGCUUGGAAGAUGCGUUUCUAAGCAUCUAUAUAAUAUAGCAAAUAUCAACGUUUUGAAAAAACGUCAUUAUAUAAAUUUUUUAUUGUAUCUAACUAAUUUAUUAAAUAAUAAAUAUUAUUAUUAUUUUUAAUUUUUUGACGUUUUAAAAUAUUGAUAUAUAGAUAUAUACGUAGCGACUUUUCAUUUGCGAACACUUUAACUGACGCUUUCAAAUAAGACGCUAGACUACAUAAAACGUACUUAAAUAUUAAUUUUCUAGUAGCGAGGAUAUUCACGUUAAUUAUUUCAGUCAAUUUUUUUUUUAUCAUUUCAGGCAUGCAAAACACUUAACACGAAUGUGAGAGGAGGUUUCAAGGCUAUUUCUGACUCUAUUUUCUAUAACAUUAUUUUUUAUUUAAGUGUGUGCGCACAUUGACCGUCAUAUAUCAAUAAAAGAAAAACCUUUCGUGGAGAGCUUUUCAAUAAAGCCUCAUUGAGCAGUUUCCGAUUCACCACAUCAUACCAGUUUUGUCUCAAUUCAAAGGUUAUAUAUCCUUCCGUAUAGAAUUUAUUUUUUUUUUAAUAAAUAGUAUUAAAAAAUAAUCAAAUAAACCUUUGAUAAUAGUAAAACCGACACGUACGAUAAAUCAGGAGAUUCUCCAUCGAGUUGUUAUUGAAGAGCUCCCCACUAAAAUUUUAUCUAAUACGAGAGAGCUGUACUCCGAAAAAUCUACAGCAAAUAACUCUAAUUUAUAUAAGUGUAAUAUUUUCCGCUUCUAGAAUACUCCACAACCAUGGUAAGCAAAAGCCAUUUUCGGUGCAACAGCGACUUUAGAAACAGUGGAUGUAGCAGGUGUUGAACUAACUACCGCAAAGAAAGGGAUAUAAAAUAUAAUAUUAGCUUAAAUUAAAUCACUUAGACUCGAAGGACAAUUCACACUUGAUGUGUACUACGAAACUCGUCCAUUUUUAGGGGAAUGUUGUGACGUGCCAAGAACGUUAGUAUUGCGUGUUACCUUCGUGCGCUCUAAUUAAGUUUCUUUAAUUGUAGUAAUCAUAAUAAUAAUAAUAAUAAUAAUAAUAAUAAUAAUAAUAAUAGUAAUAGUAAGGGGCUUAUAUUACUAGCUUUUUGGAUAUAAAAUAAUAUAUGCAUUCCAAAAAUUCACGUAUAUGUAUAAACUUGAAUAAUACUACAAAUAAUAAUAAUAAUAAUACUGAAUCAUUCAUUUUCACUUUAUUUGAUGGGGCUUGAUUUGUUUAUUCAUGAAUCAUAAAUAUAUAUAAUGACUAAUAAGGAAGCUAUAUAUGAUUAAACAACUAAUACUACAAUUAAAUAGGACAAAAUAAGAGAACCUUUUAAACUGGAUUAUUGACCAAUAUAAUGAAGGGGAAAUGACUAUACGAACUAGUUUGCAUUAUUACCUCACUGAACUGCUAGCGAUUUUAAAUAAAAUAAUGAAAGAGAAAAAAAGAAAAAGAAAAAAAGAAGUAUAAAUAAGGAUAGCAAUAAAAUUGGAUGCAUAUUUUUAAAACUACACAUAUAAAUGGCUCAAGAAGCAUGUAUGCCAUACAUAGAAAAGAAAAAUCCUUAAAUAUUAUCCAGCAAAUCCAAUAAAAACUAAUUAAAAUCGAAGAAGGGUGAUGUGUCAAAUUUAUAAGAAUCUAUUAGUGGGCGGUGUUACAACAACAUCACUAAUAGGUGAUCCUGUGACAACCUAAAAUGUUCGUAAUAUCAUUUAACUUAUUUACUUAAAAUAUUAUCCCAAACACUAAUAACAGCACAAUUCAAAUUACAUAAAAUUUUAAUUGACAAUUUUACUUAACAUCAAAAAUAAGAUUAAUACUUCUGAUUCAAAAUUUGAGUAUUUUAUCACUCUUUUUUAGAUUUUUAUUUUCAAUCAUCCGUUUUUAGGCUAUUCAUUCAUUAGACAAACAAAGUCAAAAAAUUAUAAAAUUUAAUUUCUAAAUAAUUCUAAUAGUGUAGAUCAUAUCUGCCGAAACUGAUCAUCGAAUUAAAUAUCCCGUCAAUAAAAGCAGCUUACAAAUACGAACGUCUUUAUACUUUAUACUUUCGAAAGUAUAGAAGCCUAACUCCAUAAAUUCAUUCUAUAUAUGUAUAAUAGAAGUCUUCUUUUCCAAUCCAUAUCAAAAC
rnacentral:lncRNA from 1 species